rnacentral:lncRNA from 1 species
UUAUCUUUCAACACCAACCAAAAUGAUGACAGCGUAUCCAACAAAGAGCAUUUGAAAUCUAUGGCUAGGUUACACUUACAUGAUCAACGUAACCCAUUUCACUUGUUACAAAGAGCAUUUGAAACACUGAGCAACUUUGGUCCAUGACACAAUUUGAAAGCAGCAAACAACAAAGAUUGCAUCAGUCAGUAGAACCAAAUGAUCACAAUUUCACGGAGGUGUCACAAUUUUCAUAGCAUCAAACAUUUGAUCCAGUGCCUCCCAAAUCAGUAAAACAUUCCUUACAUGAACUGGAAAACCUAAACAGAGUGCACUUCAUCGAAACAACUACGUACGAAGCAGAGUCUGAGAUCAUAAAGCUUCUUAGCAUAUAAUUACAAGUCAUGAAACCCAAACAGUGAAGGCCGCGAAGGUCCACGCUGAACCUUACCACUUCAAUCAUACACUGUGUACUGUUUCAGACAUAUGGGCUCUCAAACCGUGUCCAACAUUUGAAAUCUAUGCCUAGGUACACAUAUCUGAUCAAUGUAACCCAUUUUACUCCUUUCAACUCGAAACAUUUUACCCAUUUUACUCCUUUCAACUCGAAACCUGAGCAGUUUGGUCAUUCAAGACACGACUAUAAAGCAGCAAACAACAAAAGAUUGCAUCGGUCAGCAGAACCAAAUGGUCAUUUAGUACUUGAGACGCAGCUUCACGGUCAUGUCACAAUUUUCACCGCAUCGAACAUUUGAUCCGGCGCCUCCCAAAUCAGGAAAACACUCCAUACAUGAACUGGAACACCAAAACAGAGUGCACUUCAUCGAAACAACUACGAAGCAGAGUCUGAGAUCAUAAAGCAUCUUAGCAUACAAGUACAAGUCAUGAAACCCAAACAGUGAAGGCCGCAGACGUCCACGCUGAACCUUGCCACUUCAAACACCGCGUACUGGUUUCAGACAUAUGGGCUCACACGCCUUUACUUUAGGAUUAGGAUCAUCAAUGGAGAACGUAAGCAAGGUACCCUUUCCAUCAUCAGCUAUCUCAUCUUUGGGCAGAAUUAAGUUGUAUCCCUUCGGUAGCCCAUCAGACAACGAUGAGCUUCGUAUCUUGUAAACUGAUAUCUGAUAAUAGUCUGUCAAAAAGGAACCAUAGGACAUCCUACACUUGAACUUGGAGUUUGUAGCUUUAGGUUGGAUGCAGACGACAGAGAUGGCAUGCCCGAAUGCCUCUAGUGCCACAUUGAGCAGGAAAAUUUCCCUGUCUUUGAUACGAAGAAAAUGUAGACCUGGUUCUAGGCUGAAGUUAACAUCUUCGGAGUAUUUGAUGGUUGUACACGGCCACUUGUGCUGGGAGGCGGAAUGUUCAAGGAGGGCGUCUGUUGGCCCUGCAAAGCUGCAGCUGGACGCCGGGCAGAAACAUGGGGCGCUCGGGCAUGCCUUCUCGUGCUCUUCUUUCUGGUAGUAGGUGAGCUUCUCUGCGCAUCCAUAUUUUGCAUUGGAGCAAGGGACCAUGACUGAUUCCAUGAGACGUUCCAUCCCUAAACAGCGCUUGAAGGUAGUUUCAGCAGAGCAUAAGUGACAAUUGUUGCGCACGAGCUUGGGACGGCAAGAAGAGCAUAUGAAAUGCCCCACAGAACACUGGAACAGGAAGGAUGAGCAGGGUCGUCACGUGAGAGUAACUUUUAACAUAAAUUAAAGUUGACGCACUACACAGCAACAUAACAAGUUAGCACCACACAAAAUUGUGCAACCAUUCAUGUAGGGGUUAGUUUUGGUAUAUGCAACAUAUUGGUCUGUAAAUCUGUAACUGGCAUACAACUCCAAAGGGGGGCAGACCAAACAUAUUGCUAGUAAAGAGGUAUACAUCAUCCGCCCCUGAUCCACGGAGAGGAUAAUUUUAUGUCAAUCUUGAUCUAUUCUCCUGUGAUCCAGGGGCAACAAUGAACAAUGGAAUAGAUCAGUGGGAGAAAGGAUGAAGCCACGAAAGAGAUUUUGGCGGCAAUCUGUUGUAACGCGGGAGAGAAACAUGUCGUUUUCCUGAUUUUCUGGAACCUACUGCAAUUAGAGAGAUACACUGGUAUGUUUAAGUGGUGGGUCCACCGUGACACGUUCUGGGCGCUGGUUGAUGACCUCUGUACGUUUUACUUUUGAUACAUACAGAGAAAUAACAGAAAAAGGGUUGUCUGACCGGCGACAGAAAAACUGCUCUGUAUCUCCAGCUCUCUCUGAAUCUCUCCCUCGAUCGUGAUUCCGGCAACGACAGAGCUGGCCUUCCUGGCGCGCUUCGAGGCCAUGGCGCCGCACGCCCCCUGCUGGUCCAGCCUGCUGCGGAGCGGCUGCCAUGCGAGGGCAGCUCGCCGCGCGGCCGUUGACUACGUAGUAAUCUAUCCGUCUCUUCAUUGGAGGAAAAACCAGUAGAACAGAUGUGGAGGAGGGGGCGCUAGUGGUCAUGCUCGUCGGCCACUUCUUCGGCGGCAACAGCGAUUCCUGGGUCUGGAUGGUGUUUGUUGGGCAAAUAAGCCACGGCUCGGACGGGUCGGGCGCGGUGCGCGUGCGUGUGUGCGGUGGCCGCAUCGGGUCCGACCGUGGCGGGCUCGGGUGUGUGCAUGCGUGCCCGAGCGUGUGCGAGUGUGGCCGUUGGAACUGAGCCGUGCUGCAUGCCCGUAUGUGUGGGAGAGGCAGCCGAGUCGUGGGUGCUGCGGCAGUUCGUGCAUGGGUUGUUAGCGUGUUAGCCGGUCAGUGGUGGCUGGAUAGACAUCCNNNNNNNNNNNNNNNNNNNNNNNNNNNNNNNNNNNNNNNNNNNNNNNNNNNNNNNNNNNNNNNNNNNNNNNNNNNNNNNNNNNNNNNNNNNNNNNNNNNNNNNNNNNNNNNNNNNNNNNNNNNNNNNNNNNNNNNNNNNNNNNNNNNNNNNNNNNNNNNNNNNNNNNNNNNNNNNNNNNNNNNNNNNNNNNNNNNNNNNNNNNNNNNNNNNNNNNNNNNNNNNNNNNNNNNNNNNNNNNNNNNNNNNNNNNNNNNNNNNNNNNNNNNNNNNNNNNNNNNNNNNNNNNNNNNNNNNNNNNNNNNNNNNNNNNNNNNNNNNNNNNNNNNNNNNNNNNNNNNNNNNNNNNNNNNNNNNNNNNNNNNNNNNNNNNNNNNNNNNNNNNNNNNNNNNNNNNNNNNNNNNNNNNNNNNNNNNNNNNNNNUGAAACGUUGCCGAGCAUGUAGCUUGUGAAAGAGGAAAAAGAUUGGGGUGUUCGUGCGCCCAAGGCGGCGUUCGUGCGCCGGCCAAAAAAUCCUCGUGUCCACCGUGUCUCCAGUCCUUCUUCUUCUUCUGUACGUGCAAGAGUGAGAGAGGCGAGAGAGAGGGCGGCAAGGCGGCAACAACAGUGUUGGGGAGGCCGCAGCCGGCGGCUAGCUGGAGCUGCAAGCCCGUCGUCGCCAGUGCAGAUGGAGAUACCGCUGCGCAAUUCGUCGCCCUCUUCUUUGGCGGCAACAGCGAUUCCUCGAUGAUGGCGCGGAAGCUGUGCCCAGCCCCAGAUGGAUGGAGUUGGAAGCACGUCGCCGUCAUCGGAGAAAGAUGGCGCUGCCUCAAGAAGUCUUUAGACGAUCUCUUAUUGGGGUAUGGCAAAACAGCUAGGUAGAGCAUCAGAAGGACGGCGGGGAAGGUAUAUAUAAUGGCCGGUCCUCCAGUUGCAUAUGCUGGUACCGGAGUAGAGUCGGAGACAGUCCACGGCAGUUUCGUUCUGAGUCCACGUCCGGAAUCGGACCAAAUUUCUUUUUUUUAUUGACAUAUUUUAGUCGAGUGUGGCUAGAUCUCAGUCAAAUCCAAAUCUCAGGCAAGUGACAUACAAUCUCUGCAAACAAAUAUAAGAGCGUUACGCUCAUAAACUAUUUACAGAUGGAGUAACAUGUAAGAAAGAAAAAAAAUUGCACAUAUCUCAGUGUAAGAUCUUAACCAUAUGGCAUCGUCUGAGACAUAAUGAAGUCUUAGUCGGCUACUCUGAUAUUUAUCAAGACUUAUUUUAGCAAUUUUAAAAUCUAGUUUCAAAUCUUCUCAAUAAACUGAUUUCAUUUAUUUCAUAAAACUAACCAUCCAUUGCAAAAGUUGUUUCAGUUAUGUAAAAAUAAAUAGAUUUCAAUAAUUUUAAAAGGCUAAUUUCACUAUUGUCAAUAAACUGAUUUCACUUCUUCAGGAAAAAAGAUUUCGAUAAUUUCAAUAAACUAACUUCACUCAUUUGUUAAAACUAAUUCCAGUGAUUGUCUGGUGAAUUCGCUCAUACACAAUAUAUCUUUGUUCCACAUUUAAUAAAUCUAGCCGUGACGGUCUUCCCACAAAAAAGAUUCCACUCAUUUCAAUAAAUGGAUCUCAACAAACAAACAAAAAAGAUUUCAACUCUUUCGAAAACCAUAUUUCAAUUAAUUCAAAAACUACAUCCACUCAUUUUAGAAAUGUAAUUUCACGUAUUCCAAAAACUAAUUUCAAGUAUUUUAAAAACUAAUUCCAUGGAUUCCAAUGAAUCGAUUUCGGUAAUUCCAAAAAAUGAUUUAUCCUUCGGAAAAUAGAUGAAUUUGUAAGAACUAUUUCACUUUAUUUAAUAAACUUAUUUCAGUUUUAAGAACUAAAUGAGUGUGACAACAUGGAACUGUGCCUUAUGUGCCGACUUGCCAAUGUAGAUAACAUUUGCCAUGAAUUUCCAAGAAAUGGUACCCUCCACAUUCAUCAUUGAUCAGAACUUGCGACAAAAUGUCCCAAAGCUCACGGUACUCGAAUAAAUGCUCCAUUAAAAAAUCUUUGGUUAACUUGAUCUGCUUUAUCCACGCAUUCUCAGCAGAUGGUCUCAUGAACCAUCCAGUUCUUCCUCUUGGAGGCCUCAUAGACAAGACAAGGGGGAUAAUGUCUUUCAGCCUCCUCCCACCUUGGUGCUUGGUCCCCAUAGUCAAUGGUGGCACAACAUAAAGGUGUAGAAGAGCUUUGUGUCCACGGCAUCACAAAGGAUGCCCGUCCCAACCCACAACUUGCUCGGGUCGGUCCACUCAAGCCAUGGCCAACACAACUGCAACACCCUCCCAAAUUUUUUGGAUAGGUCACACCAAGGCCCCCAAGGUGGUUGAGGGCAGCAAACAGUUUCCCAGUUAAGCUUGCAUUUCUCUCUCGAGGUCUUAGAAAGUCAUCGAUCCCUGAACCGACUCGGGAACCCCCUUCUCUACAGGAGGUUAAAGAUGUAGUCCCAUCUAACCGAGUCAAGAGCCUUGCGAAUGUCCAACAUGAAAAGCAAGGUUGCCUUAUUAUAUCUGUGGACGUGACAGAGAAAGUUUCUAACAUACAUGAAGUUGACGUGGAUGCUUCUCUUCUGUAGGUAUGCACUUUGGGCUUUGGAAACAAGAUGGAGGGAGUAAUGGAGGAAGCGGAGGAGGAGGGGCGACUGGUAGCAAUUGAAGGGGUUUGUAUGAUUCAUAGAAGGAGGGAUAAGUGAUAGGAUUAAUGUAGGAAGAUUUGUUGGUAGUUUUCUCUUUGAAAAAUUGGUUGGUAGUUUCUGUAUAUUUCCAUAUAGAUAAUGUGAAUCCUUUAUUUUUCAUAUAUACUAUACAAUGCCAAUCGAAGGAUCAAAUCAGCAGUGGCGAAGUUACAUGGGGGCUAGGGGGCAUUUGCCCCCCCCCCACUAUAGGAAUACUCUUAAGCGUACCCCUAGUUAUUAGGACAGAGGAGGUGACACUACAAGAAAUAUGUCAACUCGUGACCUUCUGUAGUGACCCUAGAAGAAUUGGUCAUAGAUCUAUGACCAUUUCAGACCAAUUGGUCAAAAGCUGUUCGGGGGCUCCAAACCCUAAACUAUAACGACCAUUUUGGUCAGAAAGGUCGUAAUUUCCUUACAUGAAAUGGUCAUAAAGCAGAUAGCACUGGUCCGCUGCCUUAUUUCUAGCUGAUCAUGACCAAUAUAGAUGAUCAUAACCUUGUAAACUGUGGUGGGUUGCUAUGACUAGGCGCCACCUCAUCAGUUUUGCCUAUGUGUCAUGUCCAUGUGGCAGUUUUUGCCCUAGGUUGUGAAACAACCUAUAUUUCUGUCAUUACCAAAAUUCCCAAAAAAAUCUCAUAAAUUCUUUGGGUCAUAUCUUCAUCAAAUAUGUAAAAAAACCUUCCUUGCCUAGUUCAAAAAUAAUUCAAAAAUAUUCAUUUUCCUAUUCUGUUCAGAAAAACACUUUGUGAAGGAAGUAUCACUUUGGCAUGUCCAAAUGGUAUCCAUUUUCUACAGUGCUUUCCUAUGCCCAAAUAACCAUCCUCCACCAAAUGCCAGCUCAAUCCAUUCAUUAUUUUGAGCCCAGCUUUAAUAUUCGUAUUUAUGUCCAGUGUGGUACUUUGCGAAGCAAGUGCCACCUAGGCUCCUCCUUUUGAGCUGAAAUUUGUGAAGACGGUCUUCUUAGUAACUGAUCAUCCUCAGCCAAAACUCACGCCCAUUAGCCAUGUGCAUUUCCCGUUCCGCUAAUCAAACACUUGGCUGCUUAUUCAUGUUUGAGCAUCGAUCGGUCUCCUCGUGAGAAUCUUAUGUUGUGAUUUUCUUCCUAGCACCUACUGGGGAGUGCCCAACCCACUAGACAUGCCUAGGGCGCCCAGAACACAUGGCAACACCACGGUCACUGAUACGUCUCCAACGUAUCUAUAAUUUUUGAUUGCUCCAUGCUACUUUAUCUACUGUUUUGGACUAUAUUGGGCUUUAUUUUCCACUUUUAUAUUAUUUUUGGGACUAACCUAUUAACCGGAGGCCCAGCCCAGAAUUGCUAUUUUUUGCCUAUUUCAGUAUUUCGAAGAAACGGAAUAUCAAACGGAGUCCAAACGGAAUGAAACCUUCGGGAACGUGAUCUCACCGAAUGUGAUCCAGGAGACUUGGACCCUACUCCAAGAAGCUUCCGAGGAGGUCACGAGGGUGGAGGGCGCCCUCCCCUGGCCGCGCCCCCUACCUCGUGGGCCCCUCAGAGCUCCACCGACGUACUCCUUCCUCCUAUGUAUACCUACAUAUCCCCAAUAGACCAGAUACGGAGCCAAAAACCUAAUUCCACCGCCGCAACCUUCUGUAUCCACGAGAUCCCAUCUUGGGGCCUGUUUCGAAGCUCCGCCGGAGGGGGCAUCCACCACGGAGGGCUUCUACAUCAUCACCAUAGCCCCUCCGAUGAAGUGUGAGUAGUUUACUUCAGACCUUUGGGUCCAUAGCUAGUAGCUAGAUGGCUUCUUCUCUCUUUUUGGAUCUCAAUACAAUGUUCUCCCCCUCUCUCGUGGAGAUCUAUUCGAUGUAAUCUUCUUUUUGCGAUGUGUUUGUUGAGACCGAUGAAUUGUGGGUUUAUGAUCCAACUUAUCUAUGAAAAUAUUUGAUUCUUCUCUGAAUUCUUUUAUGUAUGGUUGAGUUAUCUUUGCAAGUCUCUUCGAAUUAUCCAUUUGGUUUGGCCAACUAGAUUGGUAGUUCUUGCAAUGGGAGAAGUGCAUGGCUUUGGGUUCAAUCUUGCGGUGUCCUUACUCAGUGACAGAAAGAGUUGCAAGGCACGUAUUGUAUUGUUGCCAUCGAGGAUAACAAGAUGGGGUAUUUAUCAUAUUGCAUGAAUUUAUUCCUCUACAUCAUGUCAUCUUGCUUAAGGCGUUACUCUGUUUUUAACUUAAUACUCUAGAUGCAUGCUGGAUAGCGGUCGAUGAGUGGAGUAAUAGUAGUAGAUGCAGAAUCGUUUCGAUCUACUUGUCUCGGACGUGAUGCCUAUAUACAUGAUCAUACCUAGAUUACCUCAUAACUAUGCUCAAUUCUAUCAAUUGCUCAACAGUAAUUUGUUCCCCACCGUAGAAUACUUAUGCUCUUGAGAGAAGCCACUAGUGAAACCUAUGGCCCCCGGGUCUAUUCUCAUCGUAUCAAUCUAUAUCACUUUAUUUACUUGCUUUGUUUUUACUUUGCCUUUACUUUUUUACUUUGCAUCUAUCUAUCAAAAAUACCAAAAAUAUUAUCUCUAUCAGAUCUCACUCUCGUAAGUGACCGUGAAGGGAUUAACAACCCCUAAGCGUUGGUUGCGAGUUGCUAUCGUGUUGUGCAGGUACGAGGGACUUGCGCAUGACCUCCUACUGGAUUGAUACCUUGGUUCUCAAAAACUGAGGGAAAUACUUACGCUACUGUGCUGCAUCAUCCUCUCCUCUUCGGGGAAAACCAACGCAAGCUCGAGACGUAGCAAGAAGAAUUUCUGGCGCCGUUGCCGGGGAGGCUUACGCAAAAGUCAACAUACCAAGUACUGCUCACAAUCCCUAUCUCUCGCAUUACAUUAUUUGCCAUUUGCCUCUCGUUUUCCUCUCCCCCACUUCACCCUUGCCGUUUUAUUCGCCCUUCUUCCGUUCGAUCUUAUGUUUGCUUGUACCUUCUUUUUGCUUGCAUCUUCGCUCGCUAAAAGUCCAUGGAUCUUGAUCCGCUUGCCAAUCUUUUUAAGGGAUCCAAUUAUGAUGAACCAAUUCCUAGUAAUUUGGAUGCACUAGAUUAUCUUUAUAAGGUUUUGCCUGAAAUCCGUGAAGUGACUCACGAUAGAUCUUUGAAUAAAGAGCAUGAUUGGAAUAAUUUUAUUAUAAAAUCUUUUGUUGUCAAUUGUGCUAAUAAGAUGCAAAACCCUAAGCUUUAGGAUGCUAGUUUUGUUAUGUCCCCUACUUGUUGCAAUGAUCAUGAUUGGGGUGAUUCUUCUUAUGAUCUUGAAAAUUUAUUUAAUCCCCAUAAUGAAUAUGAGAUUGAUAAUAGUGUUUGCAAUAAUAUUGAAGGUGGGUUUGGAAGAGUGUCAACUUUAGAUCCCACAUAUUUGGAUAAUGUUCAAUCUUACGAAGUUUUUGAUAAAAGUGGGUUUGGAGAGGUCAUGACUUUAGUUAAUGUUAAUCCCACUAUUUUGGAAGAGUGUCAACUUUACAUGCAUGUGGAUCGUGUUGAGAAUAUGUUAUGUGAUAGCUAUUUUGUUGAAUUUGCUUAUGAUCCUACAUGUAAUUAUUUUGAGAGAGGAAAAUAUGGUUGUAGAAAUUUUCAUGUUACUAAAUUACCUCUCUUCAUGUUGAGAUUGCUAUCAUCUCUUUGUGCUUCCUUGCAUAUGCUAGUUUUUGCUUGCUAUGAUAAUUUGUUUGCCUAUAAGAUGCCUAUGUAUAGGAAGUAUGUUAGACUUAGAUGUGUUUGUCACGUGUUUCAUGAUGCUCUCUUUGUGCUUUAAUUCUUGUCUUUGAUGUGAGCAUCGUUAAAAUUUUCAAUGCCUAGCUAGGGGCGUUAAACGAUAGCGCUUGUUGGGAGGCAACCCAAUUUUAUUUUGUGUUUUUUGUUUUUGGUUCUGUUUAGGAAUAAAUAAUCUAUCUACCUUCUGUUUGGAUGUGGUUUUAUGUUUUAAUUAGUGUUUGUGCCAAGUAAGACCUAUAGGAUAACCUACGAUGAUAGUUGAUUUGAUUCUGCUGAAAAAUAGAAACUUUGCACGCACGAAUUUAGUUUUGAUAAAUCACAGGAACGUGCUUUUGCGUUGAUUAUUUUUGCUGCUGAUCAAUAAACAAAUUUUCCAGGACUUCCUAUUUUGGUAGAAUUUUUAGAGUUCCAGAAGUUUCCGUUAGUUACAGAUUACUACAGACUGUUCUGUUUUUCGUGUGUUGUUUGCUUAUUUUGAUGAAUCUAUGGCUAGUAAAUUAGUUUAUAAACCAUAGAGAAGUUGGAAUACAGUAGGUUUAACACCAAUAUAAAGAAAUAAUGAGUUCAUUACAGUACCUUGAAGUAGUCUUUUGUUUUAUUUCUCUAACGGAGCUCACGAGAUUUCUGUUGAGUUUUGUGUUGUGAAGUUUUCAAGUUUUGGGUGAAUUCUUUUGAUGGAUUAUGGAACAAGGAGUGGCAAGAGCCUAAGCUUGGGGAUGCCCAUGGCACCCCCAAGAUAAUCCAAGGACACCAAAAAGUCAAAGCUUGGGGAUGCCCCGGAAGGCAUCCCCUCUUUCGUCCACUUCCAUCGGUAAUUUACUUGGAGCUAUAUUUUUAUUCAUCAACAUGAUAUGUGUUUUGCUUGGAGCGUCUUGUAUUAUUUGUGUCUUUGCUUGUUAGUUUACCACAAUCAUCCUUGUUGUACACACCUUUUGAGAGAGCCAUACAUGAUUUGGAAUUUAUCAGAAUACUCUAUGUGCUUCACUUAUACCUUUUGAGCUUGAUAGCUUUGUUCUAUGUGCUUCACUUAUAUCUUUAGAGCGUGAUAAUUUUUGCUCUAGUGCUUCACUUAGAUCUUUUUAGAGCACGGUGGUGGAUUUAUUUUAAAGAAACUUGAUCUCUCAUGCUUCACUUAGAUUAUUUUGAGAGUCAUUAAUAGCAUGGUAAUUUGCUUAAUGUUAAUAUACUUGGUAUUCAAGAUUUGUGAAACUUUUUUUUGAGUGAAUUAAACUAAGUUUGAUGCUUGAUAAUUGUUUUGAGAUAUGGAGGUGAUAAUAUCAAAGUCGUGCUAUUUGAAUAGUUGUGAAUUUGAGAAAUACUCGUGUUGAAGUUAGCAAAUCCCGUAGCAUGCACGUAUGGUUAAAGUUGUGUAACAAAUUUGAAACAUGAAGUGUACCUGGCUUGUGCAUCCUUAUGAGUGGCGGUCGGGGACGAGCGAUGGUCUUUUCCUACCAAUCUAUCCCCCUAGGAGCAUGCGCGUAGUACUUGAUUUUCGAUGACUUCUAAAUUUUUCCAAUAAGUAUAUGAGUUCUUUUGACUAAUGUUGAGUCCAUGGAUUAUACGCACUCUCACCUUUCCGUCAUUGCUAGCCUCUUCGGUACCGUGCAUUGCCCUUUCUCACCUUGAGAGUUGGUGCAAACUUCGCCGGUGCAUCCAAACCCCGUGAUACGAUAUGCUCUAUCACACAUAAACCUCCUUUUAUCUUCCUCAAAACAUCCACCAUACCUACCUAUCAUGGCAUUUCCAUAGCCAUUCCGAGAUAUAUUGCCAUGCAACUUCCACCAUCAUCAUCGUGACAUGCAUUACUUUUGUCAUAUUGCCAUUGCAUGAUCUUGUAAUUGACAUCGUAUUUGUGGCAAAGCCACCAUGCAUUAUUUUCCAUACAUGUCACUCUUGAUUCAUUUCACCAUCCCGGUACACCGUUGGAGGCAUUCAUAUAGAGUCAUAUCUUGUUCUAGUUUCGAGUUGUAAUCCUUAUGUUGUAAUCAAUAGAAGUGUGAUUGAUCAUCAUUAUUAGAGCAUUGCUAUUAUAGUUGGAUCUUAUGAUGUUUCUCCCGCUCUACCUUCUUGUAAUGGAUUGAGUUUUCCCUUUGAAAUUAUCUUAUCGGAUUGAGUCUUUAAGGAUUUGAGAACACUUGAUGUAUGUCUUGCAUGUGCUUAUCUAUGGUGACAAUGGGAUAUUUACGUGAUCCACUUGAUGUAUGUUUCCGCAAUCAACUUGCGGGUUCUGUGACCUUGUGAACUUAUGCAUAAGGAUUGGCACACGUUUUCGUCUUGACUCUCCCAGUAGAAACUUUGGGGCACUCUUUGAAGUUCUUUGUGUUGGUUUGAAUAGAUGAAUCUAAGAUUGUGUGAUGCAUAUCGUAUAAUCAAACCCGCGGAUACUUGUGGUGACAUUGGAGUAUCUAGGUGAUAUUAGGGUUUUGGUUGAUGUGUGUCUUAAGGUGUUAUUUUACUACAAACUCUAGGGCUGUUUGUGACACUUAUAGGAAUUGCCCAAUGGAUUGAUUGGGAAGAAUAACCUUGAGGUGGUUUCGUACCCUACAAUAAUCUCUUCGUUUGUUCUCCGCUAUUAGUGACUUUGGAGUGAGUCUUUGUUUCAUGUUAAGUUAUUGUUAUAUGAUCCAAUUAUGUUAUCAUUGUUGAGAACUUGCAAUAGUGAAAGUAUGAAUCCUAGGCCUUGUUUCGAAGCAUUGUGUAAGUGCAUCUAGUGCCCCUUAGUGAUUUUGGUGUAUUGAAGACUUAUAGGUUAAGUAACUGAUGCGUUUGUGAGUGUACACAGGUCUAUAAGUCUAUGAGGAGUUUGAUAUUUACAGAGAAAGUCGACCCCUAAAAAUGAAGUUCUUCGACUGAAGACUUUGAUAUUCUGAAGACUUUCUGAAGACUUUGAAAGUGAAGAAAUUGGUGUGACCUUGAAGACUUGGUAUUCAUUCGAGGAAUAUGGAGCGUGAAGACUUUUUUUUUCGUAGUUUCAUUUUCUCUUUCUUGAGUCAUAGGAAACACCGUACUGUUAAAGGGGGUCGAGGAAAUACUAAGGAAAAAUUUCCAUGUGAUGCUCAACUCAAAAUCCUACACCUACCAAUCCCUUCGAGUGAAGCCAUUGGAAAUCUCAUACAGUUCAGUCAAUUUCUUUACUGACAGAGACGCAGUUCUUCUGGUCACUGAGGACUUUGCUCUGACUGAGGAGUUAGAAAUUCGCCAGUGCGAAUUGCCUACACAGUGAGGAACAUGAUAGCCCUGAGGAAUUUGAGAGUCAAAUUUCCGACCGUUGUUGUGCUGCGCGCCGGCUGUCCAAAAUAUCUUAUCCACCUAACGGUCAUAUCAUUGAAGGGCAUUUAUGUCUUAUCAUGUUGGGCUGCUCCCUAGGCUAUAAAUAGCCGCCCCCUACAACCACUAGUUGGUUGGCUGCUCCGAGAGAACUUGACACUUGUCAUUUGAGUGCAACCCAUCCUCCGAGGACUUUGAGCGAAAAUCAUCGAGUGAGGAAAAUCCCAAAACCAAACCCCCACAAACCCAAAGUGAUUGAGCAUCGCUGAAGAAAUUGAUCCUGCGUGGAUCCGACGCUUGUUACCUUUGAAGACUGUGCUUCUUCCAGACGGUUAGGCGUCAAGGUCUAGAGCAUCCAAGAGGAAUUGUGGAUCGCCGAGUGACCAAGUCUAUGAAGGUUUGGAAGUCACCUGAAGACUUACCACGAGUGAUUGGACGAGGCCUGCGUGGUCUUAGUUCAAGGAGAAUACGGUGAGGACUGGGUGUCCUGAGUUGCGGCUCAGAGACUGGGUGUCCGGGACUGCGUGUCCUCGAGUUUAAAUACUCAGCCACUCCAACUAGACAUACAACUGAGACAGCAGUUGGAACUGGUUUACCAAAUCAUUGUCUUCACCAACUAACUGGUUCUAAUUCCUCAACUCUUUCAUUUCCUCAUUACUGUGUUGUAUGUUGUUCAUAUCUGUGCUUGAAGACUUUGACUGAAGACUUUCACAAAUUCCUCAGUUCAAUUUCUUCAGUCUGUCCGUCUUCAUCUUGUUAUCCUGUGUUUACGCUUUCUGUACUCUGUGCUAGUCUUCAUUUCAUCAUGAUGACUAUGUUUGUAUCCUGUUACGUUUACUUCUGAGUACUUAUUCCGCUGCAAGUAGUUCUUCAGUAAGGAAUUUCCUCACCAGAAAAUUCCUCAGUGAAGAAUUCAUAAAAAUCGCCUAUUCACCCCCCUCUAGUCGAUAUAACGCACUUUCAAUUGGUAUCAGAGUAAGGUACUCCCUUGUUCUGUGUGAUUUUGGUUUAACCGCCUGGAGUUUUAGUUAUGUCGACCGCAUGUAUGAUCAAGGUCUUGGCUGGGUGUCCUACCUUUGAUGGAACGGACUACCCCUACUAGAAGAACAAGAUGCGAAUGCAUCUUGAGGCAAUUGAUAACGAUCUCUGGUAUGUUGUGGAAAAUGGUGUCCGCACUGUCACUCCCUCACUGAACGCUACCGAUGUGAAGAGAUUCAAACAACUCGAUUCUCAAGCGAAGAAUAUCAUAUGUGGCCAUCUGAGCAAAGGAUAGUAUGGAAGAGUGAGUGCUUUGGAAACUGCUAAGCUUAUCUGGGAUAGGCUGUCCAAAGUAAAUGAAGGAGUUUCAACUCAGCGUGACUCUCGAGUCGAUGUUCUUCGGAAUCUCUUCAACCGCUUCAAAAGACUCGACAAUGAGAAUGUCCAACAAACCUUUGAUCGCCUCACUGACAUCUCAAAUGAGCUUCAAGCCCUCGGUGCCACUGACAUCACUGAUCAUGAAGUUGUGAAGAAACUACUGAGAUCGCUUGAUUCGUCAUUUGAUACUCUGGGACUGAUGAUACAAGAACGUGCUGACUACAAGUCGCUUGAUCCUGCUGAUAUCCUCGAAAGGCUAAACACUCACGAGUUCCAGCUUGCUGAAAAGAGAGAUCUCUAUGGCUCAAACUAUGGCAAACCACGUGCCCUCAAGGCCAAGGUUGUGUCUGACUCUGAAUAUGAGGAUUCUGGUAGUAGCCUUGGUGAUCCUGAAGAACUGAGCCAGGAUCUAGCACUGCUUGUGAAGAAAUUCCAAAAGUUCACAAGACGUGGUCGCUUUGGAAAAUCCUCAAGAGGAAAUGAUUCCUCAUCCAGUGACUAUAAGAGAAGACUUUGCCACAAAUGCAAGAAGCCUAGUCACUAUAUUCAAGAUUGUCCUCAGUGGGAAAAGGAAAUGAAGAAGAAGAAAUACAAGGAUUACAGUUCUGAUGAUGCGAAGAAGAAGAAGAAAUCGUCAAAAUCUUCGUCAUCAAAAUCCUCGAAGUCUUCAUCUCACAAGAAGAGCAGCUCCAAGAAGGCUCGGGCAUUCAUUGGCAAGGAGAUGGACUCUGAAGCUGAAUCUGAGGAAAAUGAUGAAGAGGAGGAGUCCGAAGAAUCUGAGUCUGGUGUUGCGAGUCUGGCCGUUGCUACUGCCUUCGUCAGCAAGUCCAUCUUCAACACUGAAGAAACUGACUCCACCGACAAGCCUGAUGAAGAUAAUGAUGGCUACGCUCCCACCUAUUGCUUCAUGGCGAAAGGUGCUAAGGUACUCAAAUACAACUCCUCUGACUCUAGUGAAAAUGAAUCUGAUGAGGAUCUCAAGCCCAGCUACUCUAAACUUGCUAAAAUUGUUGUGAAACAACAACGGGCUCUUGAAAAGGUUCAAAACAUGCUAGAUAAAAGUGAUGAUAUGUUGGGUGAAGAAAUGGAUCGCACUAAAGCCUUGACUGAAAAUCUUCAGAGACUUCAGUCUAGGUUUGAUAACCUUCAAGGUCAUCAUAACUCUCUCUUGUCUGAUCAUGAGAAACUUUCUUAUGAAUUUCUUCAAGAAAAGCAAGAUCACGAGAAGCUUUCUCUUGAAUCUCUUCAAAGAAAGGAAGAUCUUGAAAAGCUAAGAGUGUGUUAUGAAGAUCUUCAGAAGGAGCGCGAUUCAUUACUUGCUCAACAAAUCAGCGCUUCUCAGGAAGAAUUUGUUCCUCCAUGCUUAAAGUGCAUUGAACGUGAAUCUGCUAAUUCUUCACCUGAAUGUUCAAAUGCUUCAAAUGUUACAAAUUCUUCAUCUGCCUCUGCUAUCACUAAUUCCUCAUCUGAGGACAUUGCUAGUAUCACUGACAAUGCAGGGCUGAAGGAAUUGUACAUGACAGGCAUGUACAAAAGCCUCAAAGGGCAUCAGACACUUUGUGAUGUGCUCAAAAAGCAGAUCCUCAACAGAAACCCUAGGAAGGAGGGUAUUGCCUUUGAGAGGAAACUCAAUGCUGAUGAAACAUAUUGGAAGCCUGAGCAGUACCCCAAAACCUCGUGGGUUGCUGCAAAGGGACCUCCAGUUGAUCCAUCUAACUUAUCUGGCUUUACAUGUGAAUCUCCUCAUUCUUCUAAUGAGUCAUUUGACUCCAACUAUAAACUGUUCAAAAAUCAGAAUGGUGAAGUAUUUGCUAGAUAUGUUGGCACUAACUGCAGGAACGGUUCCCCUAUGAAGAAAAUCUGGGUUCCCAAAAGCUGUGUUGAAAGUCUUCAGGUGAAUGUCCUCAUGACACCACCUGUGAAGAACAGGAACCCCAGAUCAAAUUCUUCAUAUGGACCAAAUUCUUCAUAUGGAUCAAAUUCCUCAACUGGAUCAAAGUCCUCAUAUGAUUACCAUCGUGCUAACAACUCUAUCUCGCAGGGUAGAGCUAAGGGUUAUGAAUAUGUGCAUUAUUCUUCAAACUAUUAUGUUCAUAAGUCCUCAAAGAAUUACUCUGCUUAUUCAUAUGCUUACCCUAACCCCUCUUAUGUGAAGCGAAAUGGUUUGGCAUCUUUGCCACCUUUCUCAUAUGGUGCUCGCAGAAUGAUGAACUCUUUACCACCCCUCCAGAUGUGGGUGGUGAAGAAAAAGAACUAAUCUCCUCUGCAGGGUCAGGUCUCCAGACGUGCUCUAACGUCUGAAGAAUUUGCUGGGGACCUGACAAAAAUGCCUGAAGGGACGCAGGCGAAUUAUGAUGAAAUGAACUUUCAUUUCACACGUCCUCAUACUGCUAUACCUGUUUACUGCUUGAUGAAAUUCAUCUGAUGAACUUGAUAUCAUAUUCUUCACUGAUGAAGCAUAUGAGAUUGUAAGCUACACUAAUUCAUCUGCAGGAUGAUCAACUCAAAACCACUGAAUGAGUCCUCGAUAGUGGAUGUACAAAUCACAUGACUGGUGACAAGAAUCUAUUGAUGGAUGCUCCCUUAUCACCGUCACCUCUGAAGCAUAUCAUCUUUGCUGACAAAGGCAAAAGUCAGGUAUUGGGUCUUGGUAAGGUUGCUAUCUCUAAGGAUAAGCACAUGGACAAAGUCAUGCUUGUUGAGUCCUUAGGAUACAAUCUCAUGUCAGUCUCAAUGCUUUGUGAUCUUGAUAUGGUUGUUGUCUUUGGCAAAUAUCGUUGUGUUGUGAUUAUGGAAGCUGACAAUUCCAAAGUCUUCGAAGGCUUUAGGAGAGGAGAUCUGUAUAUUGUUGAUUUCUCUACAGGACCACAACCAGCCGUGUGUCUACUUGCAAAAGCUUCAGAAGGCUGGCUAUGGCAUCGACAACUUGGUCACGCAGGCAUGAGGAAUUUGAACACGCUUGCGAAGAAGAAGCAUGUCAUUGGCAUUGAGAAUGUCAAAUUCCUCAAGGAUCACUUAUGCGGAGCCUGUGAGGCUGGGAAAAUGACCAAGGCCAAGCAUCUAGCGAAGACUAUCAUGACCACUACCCGUCCAGUCGAAUUGCUUCACAUGGACCUCUUCGGACCUAAUCAUUAUUCAGCAGUCACUAAUGGUGCAUCUCUAUAUGGUUUUGUCAUUGUUGAUGAUUAUUCUCGAUAUACAUGGGUACACAUUGUUACUUACAAACAUGAAGUGCAGGAAGUCUUCAAACGAUUUUCCUCGAGGGCUUCAACCAAUUUUGGUGCGAAGAUCAAACAUAUCAGAAGUGAUAAUGGAACUGAGUUCAAGAAUUCCGGUCUUGAUGCUUCUCUUGAUGAACUUGGUAUUACUCAUGAGUUAUCUGCUCCCUAUACUCCUCAGCAGAAUGGCGUCGUAGAGCGCAAGAACAGAACUCUUGUUGAGAUGGCUCGCACUAUGCUUGAUGAAUACAAAACGCCUCAGCGUUUUUGGAUUGAUGCAAUUGAUACUGCUUGCCACAUCAUCAACAGAGUAUAUCUUCACAAAUUCUUCAAGAAGACUGCCUAUGAACUCCUCACUGACAAGAAACCCAAUGUGAGUUAUUUCAAAGUCUUCGGUGCUAAAUGUUGGAUUAGAGAUCCUCACCACAACUCUAAAUUUGCACCGAAAGCACACGAAGGUUUUAUGCUUGGUUACGGAAAGGACUCGCACACCUACAGAGUCUUCAACAUUGUUCUUCACAAGAUUGUUGACACUGUAGAUGUGCGGUUUGAUGAAACUAAUGGCUCGCAAAGAGAGCACCUACCUUCUGUGUUAGAUGAACCAGCACCUGAGGAUGCUAUCAAGCUCAAGGCAACUGAGGAUGUUAUUCCGACUGAAGAAUCUGCUGAAGAAUUCAUUCCUGUUCGUGAAGAACGUCGAGCUGAUGCACCUGAAGAACAAGAUGAGGAAAAUGGUGCUGAAGAAAAUGCUGAUCAAAAUCCUCAGCGACAACCAACUCAUCCACGCGUUGCAAAAGAAGUGCAAGUGGAGAAGAUCAUCGAUGACAUUAGCGCACCAGGUCCUCUCACACGCUCAAAAGCAUCACAUUUAUCUAACUUUUGUGGGCACUAUGCUUUUGUCUCUAUCACAGAGCCCACUAAGGUAGAUGAAGCAUUUCUGGAGCCGGAGUGGAUUCAGGCUAUGCAAGAAGAAUUACAUCAGUUCGAGCUGAACAAUGUCUGGGAAUUGGUCAACCGCCCAGAUCCUCGCAAGCAUAAUAUCAUUGGCACAAAGUGGAUCUACCGCAACAAGCAAGAUGAAAAUGGCCUUGUGGUGAGGAAUAAGGCACGACUAGUAGCUCAAGGCUACACACAGGUUGAAGGAAUUGAUUUCGAUGAAACUUUUGCACCUGUUGCUAGACUUGAGGCUAUUCGCAUAUUACUUGCUUACGCUAACCAUCAUGAUAUCAUCUUAUAUCAAAUGGAUGUGAAAAGUGCAUUCCUCAAUGGUAAGCUUGAGGAAGAAGUAUAUGUUGCUCAACCCCCAGGUUUUGAAGAUCCCAAGAAUCCUGACAAAGUCUUCAGAAUCAAUAAGGCCCUCUAUGGCCUCAAGCAAGCCCCUCGGGCGUGGUAUGAUACAUUGAAGGAAUUCUUCGUGAAGAAUGGCUUCACACCCGGUUCACUCGACCCUACUCUUUUUACUAAAUCAUACGAUGGUGAACUGUUUGUGUGCCAAAUAUAUGUUGAUGAUAUUAUCUUUGGCUGUACUAACCAACGUUAUAGUGAUGAAUUUGCCUAUAUGAUGAGUGAAGAAUAUCAAAUGUCUAUGAUGGGAGAGUUGAAAUUCUUCUUAGGUCUUCAAAUUCGUCAGCAGCGCAAUGGCAUAUUCAUAUCUCAGGAGAAAUACCUCAAAGAUGUACUGAGGAAAUUCGGCAUGCAAGAUUGCAAAGGCGUCAAAAUUCCUAUGCCCACAAAUGGCCAUCUAUGCACUAAUGAAAAUGGUAUUGACUUUGAUCACAAGGUAUACCGCUCCAUGAUUGGUUCCUUAUUGUACUUAUGUGCAUCUAGGCCAGAUAUAAUGCUUAGUGUUUGCAUGUGUGCCCGAUUUCAAGCUGCACCGAAGGAAUCACACCAUAAGGCUGUGAAGCAUAUUCUUCGAUAUCUAGCUCACACACCAACACUAGGAUUAUGGUACCCCAAGGGCUCUGCUUUUGAUCUCAUUGGAUAUUCUGACUCUGACUAUGCUGGUGAUCGUGUGGACCGCAAGUCCACAUCUGGCACUUGUCAUUUCCUCGGACGAUCUUUGGUCUGUUGGUCCUCGAAGAAACAGAACUGCGUAUCACUGUCUACUGCUGAAGCUGAAUACAUUGCUGCUGGCUCAUGCUGUGCUCAACUGCUUUGGAUGAAGCAAACCCUCAAGGACUAUGGCGUCAACGUGAAGAAUGUGCCUCUCCUCUGCGACAAUGAGAGUGCCAUCAAGAUUGCUCACAACCCAGUUCAGCACUCGAAGACUAAGCACAUCUAGAUUCGUCAUCAUUUUCUUCGUGAUCAUGUGUUGAAGGGCGACAUCUCCAUCGAGCAUGUGAAGACUAAAGAACAGCUAGCUGAUAUCUUCACUAAGCCCUUGGAUGAGAAGAGAUUUAGCAAGUUGCGGUGUGAGCUAAAUAUCUUAGAAUCUUCGAAUGUUCUUUGAAAAGGACACACAUCCUAACCCUUAUGCAGAAUUGAUGACUUAGAUGUGCAACACAUGAAGAAACAUUUUUCUUCAAUCAAUGAAGAAUAACACUCUAAGUGUGAAGAAAUUAAUAAAGAAUUUGAUUCUCAGAACCCUACGACAAUUGUACGCGGUGUCUGAAAUCAUCAUUCUUAUACGGUGGGACACGCCACCACAAAAGUUGAAAAUCUUCAAUUUGAGUUUUUCCUCAUUUUUGAAAUUCCUCAGUCUUUCAAAUUCUUCAACUUUGCAAAAUCUUCACUGUUUCCGUCGUUUUUCUUCAUUGACUAUAUAUAUAUAUGUGAGUUUAUGUCCUCUACAGCAUUCACUUAUUGCUAUUUCUUCAAGUUGCGAUUUCUGCUAAGUGAAUGUGAUCGGACCCUUCCCCCUCUAUGCUAUACUCAACCCAAUCUAUUCACAAAUUCUUCAUGUGCGUUCUAAUUGAAACUCGUUCAAAGUCUUCACUGUGUCCUUGUCAGCUGAAGAAAUUGCGAACGAAUUUUUAAAAACAAAUCUUAUCCAGAUUUUCGGUUUUACCGCUCAAACCGUUCCGCAUCCCACGAUGCAUUAGUUUAUUCACCCACGAUCUUACACGAUCUCAUCUGCACAGUAUGUGGGUGACACAUGUCGCGUGAAGAAGAAAGGGCAGGGGCAUGUUCAUCCCAAAUCUUCGAGCGAACACCCCUCUCCCUUCCUUACUUCAUUUACUCCGCUCGGUCGCUGUCUCUCGCUCGAGCUCUCCUCAAACCCUAGUGCCGCCGCUACUCCAUCGCCGCCGGUGAGGAAGAGCUUCACUGCCUCGACCUCGUCACCGUCGUACUCGCGCCGGCUGCUGAAAUCUUCACUCCGCCGCCGCCGUAGCUGUCUCCCUCUGCCAAGUUAGGGCAUGGGAGAUCUAACUUGACGAACUUCAUCACUGUUCAUCUCUAUUCGUCGUGUUCUUCAGUUCGGGUAAUUAAAAGUCACUUUUAUUACUUGCUUUGAUUCUCAAACUUUUCUGAAAAUCUUCAAAGGUGUUUUAUUCUUCAAAUCUUCACAUAUGAACACCUCACACACUGUAUGCUCUUGAUCCAUCUCUCUAAGCACUCAAUUCUUCAAGAUUCCUCAAUUGUGCGGAUUUUCGAUCUGUACAACUCUGGAACCUAAGACAAGAACGCUUAGUGAAAUUUCUCAAGGCUCAACUGGUCAAAUUCCUCAAAACUUGUCUUUUCGAAAAAAAUUUCUGAGAACGCAUAUGACCUCUUCAAAUUCCUCGCACCUACACUCUGUUCACAGGUACUCAUGUCCGCUGCUGAAUCACUAAGUUCUCAUCAACUUAACUCAUUUGCAGCGUUCCUCGAAGAAAAACUGCAUACUUCCUCAGAGUGUUCUAUUGUUCAAAUUCCUCAUCUGAAGAAAAUGGCAGAAGGAAAGAGACCGCAGAAAGGAGGAAAGAGACCGGAGGUCAUGACUGCUUUCGAGAUCCCUGAUGAAAUAUACAAGGAUUAUUGCACACCUGAUGAAGCCAAGUUUGGCAAAGAAAACAAGAAUCAGCGCAAAGUGCGCAUUCAGAGGAUUGAACGAAGAUGGGCACGAGAAUGGAGGGAAUAUCGAUAUGUUACUCCAAAGUACAUGAAGAAAUUCGCCUUAAAUCCUCCAUGCCCAAGAGCUCCAUUGGCACCUGGCCAAGUCGCUGAUCCCACUAGCAUCAAAAGUGGUGAAGACUUUCCUGAAGAAUGGGCUAGGCGCCAAGCAAAAUUGGCAAGACAAGCCAAGCAGGCAGUGAGGAAAUUCAAUGAGGAUUCUGCUGCUGCUGCUGCCGCUGAGACCUUGGUCAAGCCGAGGAAAUCAAUGCCGAAGAAGCCUGCUCGGAAGCCAAGUGCUUCACCAUCAGCACCCUCACGGCCCAGUUCCUCAGCCGCGCCCUCACGGCAAAUUCCUCAGACUACUGCUGCUCCACCAAAGUCCUCAGCAGCUCCCUCCAAGUCCUCAACUCCUGUGCAUCUGGCUACAUGUCAAAGGACUCAGGGUUUCUCAAUUGCUUCUGGUGUCUCAGCGAGUUCCUCAGCUGCACCAAUGUCCUCAUCAGGCCCCACUCUACUGAAGACAAAAGCAACAGCUGGACGCGGUCCUCGGCCAAGUCCAAGAAAGAAACAGGUUGCUUUCCAAGUGCCCUCUGAUGACGACGCUUCUGAUGAAGAACUUGCAGAAAUCAUCAGAGACAGACAAGCAAAGGCCGCUAGAGCCAAAGGAACACCUGUGCCUCUGCUUCUGGAUCCGAAGAAGAUCCUCGACUACAUCAACUUAUGGCAUCAGGAUCCAAACACUCCAAUGCCUGAUCUGCCUCUGACUCCUGGUCAAAGUCAUAUGCUGACCCAUUUCAUCUCUGAAGAGAAAUGGAAGUUUGAAAAGGCUCGUGAGAUAAAGAGAGCACAAGCUAGAAAGGAGAAGCUUCUGAAGAAGAACAUCGUCAGACUGACUCCUGAAGAACUUCUCAAGGCUCAAUCUGAGGUCCAAGCCCUCAGCAAAGAUUUCGAUGCAUACAAUGCUAAUUGGCAAGGAGCCAAAGUGAGAUUCGUCAAUUUGACGAAGAAAAUGACAACUGUUGCAGCCCCAUCGCAACAAGCAAAUCCUCAGGCUACAGACUCUGCUCAGCCUGCUGAAGAACAUGCCAGCACUGCUGAUGACUUUCAGCCUGCUGAUGAGAAUACAAGUUCCAGGGCUGAUGACUCCAUUCCAGCCGCUGAAGAAAUUCCCAGGGCAUCCACUAGUGGUGCGCCUGAAGAAACUGAAGAGAUCAGGGCAACUGCACCAGUUGCGCUUGAAGAAAAUGAACCACAGUCCUCAGCUCCUCCUGCGCCAACACCAACUCCAAUUCUUCCUUCUGCUUAUGAAGGGAAGAAGACCAAGGCUGCAGAGCGAGCUGCGGUGAAGAAAAGGAAGGCAUCAGCUGCGUCAAAUUCUUCGGCCGCGAAGAAAAUGAAGCCAAUGACCAGCUCGCUUGAAAAUCCUAUUGAUGUCGUUCCGAUUUCCUCCAUGUCAUCAAAGGAAAUUGUUCCUUAUGGAGAAGACUACAAGAUCCCAAGUGGAUCUGAUGAAGAAAAUCAUUCUGUUGCUACCUCAGAGCAGUUUGAUGAAGAAAUUGAAGUAGAAACAUUCCCUUCAACGCCAGUCGUUUCCUCACCUAUGCCUCAGUUCACAGCUGAAGAUGCUGGUGUUGAGGAAAUUGAAAAAGAAGAAAAAGAUGUGGAUAUUGGAUGCACUACACCAGUGAUGAACGAUGACUUUUGGGAAAGUCAGCACCCCAAUACUCCUCUCUUCACUCCUAUCAACAAAUUCCUCAGUCCCCGGCUACAACUGUUCAUAUGGGCUCUGAAGAAACUCAUCCCACAUCGUCGGUUCAUGAAGAAAUUCCAGCCGCUAGUGCUGAAGAACCUGCUGUUGUUGAUCCCCAAACUGCACAAGAAGAGGAACCAGAAAUUCCUCAGCCUGAAGCACCUGAGAUCGUGAUUCCUGAGGUGGUGCUGCAAAUCACUGACACUCCUCUGCCCAAACCGAAGAAUCCGUUCUCUAGCAAGCAAAAAUUCAAGGUUGAAGACUUCUUUUCUGAGCAUGUGUUCUUCACUGAUUAUAAUCCAUAUGACUCUACUCGCAUAAGGAAGAGACGUUUCUGGACUGCUACUCAAGCCAACUACUAUUCCUCAGUGCUCUUUGACAAGGACAAAAUCUUCGAUCAUGAGCAUAUUCCUCAUGUGGAUAUGGAAUCUCUGCCGUGCUUCGAGCCAGUCCUCCGCGUUAUUCACGAUGCAGUACUACUGAAUUUCUGCACUGAUAUCUGUGAUUGGAAUGAAGAACUCAUUCUUCAGUUCUAUGCCACUUUGCAUAUCACCGGAGAUGCUGAAGAUGUCAAUUCAUGGGUGCUGGAUUGGAUGACAGAAAAUACUCACUACAAGGCACUAGCAACUGAAUUGCUUCGUGUCCUUCCUCUUGAUCCUCCCCAUGACAGUGCACGUUGCAUCUACAAUGACCGAGAACUAACAGAUCAUUAUAUGCAAGUGCUCAUGAAGCUUUUGAAGCCAGGGCAGGCCCCUCGAACCAAAUUCCUCGUCAAGGAAUUGCUGUAUGUGCCUUGGACUGUCUAUCGAAUCCUGACGAAGACAAUGAGUCCUAUCAAAGGCCACGACUCAAAUGAUGAAGAUGUCGUUGGCAUCAUGAAGAACAUGCUUUUCAACAUCAUUCAUGGCGUUCCCGUCAACUUCCAUGAUUUCUUCAUGAGGACUCUGGCUAAUGUUGCAAUGUCACCUUUUGAGCUGAAGCCCUAUGCGCCUUGGAUUAUGAGAUUCAUAAGGGCAAGAUCUUCACUGAACUACAAGGCUGACACUCUGAACCAUGGUAGCUACUUGCCGCCCAUUGAAGUCCUCAAGCGACCAGUUUCAUCAUCUGAUGAUAAGGGCAAGGCAGCUGCUGUGAUCGAUGAAGGCAUUCGUCCAUUGGAUGGUCAAUUCCGUCUGGCUACAUCUUACUCCACCAAUGACGAUUCUGCAACACAUGACACUGCCGCAAAUACAUCAGCCAAGCAAAAGCCUCAAGCAACAGCACCCAGGGUGAUGACUGACCGUGAGUUACUCCUCAGUCUUCAUCAGAAGGUUGAUCGCAAUCACAAAUGGGUGAAACGCCAAUUUGCUGCAAUUCUUCACAACAUGACCUCAACCCAUAAUGCAGUGAAGAAAAAUCAGUAUCACCUUCAUGAAACCCUCAACCGCACCUGGGCUGUUCUCACUCAUGUAUAUUCCGCGGAAGAACUAAAGACUAUGGGUCUCCAGGAAGCAUUUGACUGGUCUGCACCACCUCCAAAGAAAUUCAAGAGAGUCAAAGUUCCUGAUCUGGUGGCCAGUUCUUAUUCUUCAUCGCGUGAAACUGAUGAACAUGAAAAUUUGGACGACACUACGGCAGGCCCUACUUCAACGAACAACCCCAACAACGUUGGUGCUCCUCCAUCGACUUGAAAUUCUUCAGGGGCGUUAGUCCUUAGUUUCGAUCCUUUUGGUCAUUUGAUGACAAAGGGGGAGAAAUCUGAGUUAGUCUUCAAGCGGGUUUAUAUUAUGGGCGUUUUGCUAAGUUACAACUCUCGUUCUUCCGAAACUUUUUAUUGGGUCGAGUUGUAAUCUUAAAUCCGAUGGUGCCCUGAUACUUUUAGACGGUGCAUUGUGCUCUGACUUUGAUGCACUAUGCUCUGAUACUUUUGAUGUGUCAUUCUGCAUGCUUAUUCCUCGUUAAUAUUAUUGCACGCAUGCUGAAUCUCAUCAGGCACCAUAUUUCAUCAUGCAUUUCAAAUUCUUCAUAUUAUAUAUCAAAUGCGUGUAUGAAUUACAAGAUAUAGGGGAAGAUCUCCAUGAUUCAAAUUCUUCAAAUGUGCAUUGCCUCAAAAGCAAAUUCCUCACUAUGCACAUAUUCAGGGGGAGUUCUUCUAUAUCUUGCAAUCAAAUUCCUCAAUAUCAGUAUUUACACUUCAUAUGUUUAUCCCCGUUGAAAACUUAACCUAUGUUGUCAUCAAUCACCAAAAAGGGGGAGAUUGUAAGUGCAUCUAGUGCCCCUUAGUGAUUUUGGUGUAUUGAAGACUUAUAGGUUAAGUAACUGAUGCGUUUGUGAGUGUACAUAGGUCUAUAAGUCUAUGAGGAGUUUGAUAUUUACAGAGAAAGUCGACCCCUAAAAAUGAAGUUCUUCGACUGAAGACUUUGAUAUUCUGAAGACUUUCUGAAGACUUUGAAAGUGAAGAAAUUGGUGUGACCUUGAAGACUUGGUAUUCAUUCGAGGAAUAUGGAGCGUGAAGACUUUUGUUUUCGUAGUUUCAUUUUCUCUUUCUUGAGUCAUAGGAAACACCGUACUGUUAAAGGGGGUCGAGGAAAUACGAAGGAAAAAUUUCCAUGUGAUGCUCAACUCAAAAUCCUACACCUACCAAUCCCUUCGAGUGAAGCCAUUGGAAAUCUCAUACAGUUCAGUCAAUUUCUUCAGUGACAGAAACGCAGUUCUUCUGGUCACUGAGGACUUUGCUCUGACUGAGGAGUUAGAAAUUCGCCAGUGCGAAUUGCCUACACAGUGAGGAACAUGAUAGCCCUGAGGAAUUUGAGAGUCAAAUUUUCGACCGUUGCUGUGCUGCGCGCCGGCUGUCCAAAAUAUCUUAUCCACCUAACGGUCAUAUCAUUGAAGGGAAUUUAUGUCUUAUCAUGUCGGGCUGCUCCCUAGGCUAUAAAUAGCCGCCCCCUACAACCACUAGUUGGUUGCCUGCUCCGAGAGAACUUGACACUUGUCAUUUGAGAGCAACCCAUCCUCCGAGGACUUUGAGCGAAAAUCAUCGAGUGAGGAAAAUCCCAAAACCAAACCUCCACAAACCCAAAGUGAUUGAGCAUCACUGAAGAAAUUGAUCCUGCGUGGAUCCGACGCUUGUUACCUUUGAAGACUGUGCUUCUUCCAGACGGUUAGGCGUCAAGGUCUAGAGCAUCCAAGAGGAAUUGUGGAUCGCCGAGUGACCAAGUCUGUGAAGGUUUGGAAGUCACACGAAGACUUACCACGAGUGAUUGGACGAGGCCUGCAUGGUCUUAGUUCAAGGAGAAUACGGUGAGGACUGGGUGUCCUGAGUUGCGGCUCAGAGACUGGGUGUCCGGGACUGCGUGUCCUCGAGUUUAAAUACUCAGCCGCUCCAACCAGACGUACAAGUGAGACAGCAGUUGGAACUGGUUUGCCAAAUCAUUGUCUUCACCAACUAACUGGUUCUAAUUCCUCAACUCUUUCAUUUCCUCAUUACUGUGUUGUAUGUUGUUCAUAUCUGUGCUUGAAGACUUUGACUGAAGACUUUCACAAAUUCCUCAGUUCAAUUUCUUCAGUAUGUCCGUCUUCAUCUUGUUAUCCUGUGUUUACGCUUUCUGUACUCUGUGCUAGUCUUCAUUUCAUCAUGAUGACUAUGUUUGUAUCCUGUUACGUUUACUUCUGAGUACUUAUUCCGCUGCAAGUAGUUCUUCAGUAAGGAAUUUCCUCACCAGCAAAUUCCUUAGUGAAGAAUUCAUAAAAAUCGCCUAUUCACCCCCCUCUAGUCGAUAUAACGCACUUUCAAUUGGUAUUAGAGCAAGGUACUCCCAUGUUCUGUGUGAUUUUGGUUUAACCGCCUAGAGUUUUAGUUAUGUCGACCGCAGGUAUGAUCAAGGUCUUGGCUGGGUGUCCUACCUUUGAUGGAACGGACUACCCCUACUGGAAGAACAAGAUGCGAAUGCAUCUUGAGGCAAUUGAUAACGAUCUCUGGUAUGUUGUGGAAAAUGGUGUCCCCACUGUCACUCCCUCACUGAACGCUACCGAUGUGAAGAGAUUCAAACAACUCGAUUCUCAAGCGAAGAAUAUCAUAUGUGGCCAUCUGAGCAAAGGACAGUAUGAAAGAGUGGGUGCUUUGGAAACUGCUAAGCUUAUCUGGGAUAGGCUGUCCAAAGUAAAUGAAGGAGUUUCAACUCAGCGUGACUCUCGAGUCGAUGUUCUUCGGAAUCUCUUCAACCGCUUCAAAAGACUCGACAAUGAGAAUGUCCAACAAACCUUUGAUCGCCUCACUGACAUCUCAAAUGAGCUUCAAGCCCUCGGUGCCACUGACAUCACUGAUCAUGAAGUUGUGAAGAAACUGCUGAGAUCGCUUGAUUCCUCAUUUGAUACUCUGGGAAUGAUGAUACAAGAACGUGCUGACUACAAGUCGCUUGAUCCUGCUGAUAUCCUUGAAAGGCUAAACACUCACGAGUUCCAGCUUGCUGAAAAGAGAGAUCUCUAUGGCUCAAACUAUGGCAAACCACGUGCCCUCAAGGCCAAGGUUGUGUCUGACUCUGAAUAUGAGGAUUCUGGUAGUAGCCUUGGUGAUCCUGAAGAACUGAGCCAGGACUAGCACUGCUUGUGAAGAAAUUCCAGAAGUUCACAAGACGUGGUCGCUUUGGAAAAUCCUCAAGAGGAAAUGAUUCCUCAUCCAGUGACUAUAAGAGAAGACUUUGCCACAAAUGCAAGAAGCCUGGUCACUAUAUUCAAGAUUGUCCUCAGUGGGAAAAGGAAAUGAAGAAGAAGAAAUACAAGGAUUACAGUUCUGAUGAUGCGAAGAAGAAGAAGAAAUCGUCAAAAUCUUCGUCAUCAAAAUCCUCGAAGUCUUCAUCUCACAAGAAGAGCAGCUCCAAGAAGGCUUGGGCAUUCAUUGGCAAGGAGAUGGACUCUGAAGCUGAAUCUGAGGAAAAUGAUGAAGAGGAGGAGUCUGAAGAAUCUGAGUCUGGUGUUGCGAGUCUGGCCGUUGCUACUGCCUUCGUCAGCAAGUCCAUCUUCAACACUGAAGAAACUGACUCCACCGACAAGCCUGAUGAAGAUAAUGAUGGCUACGCUCCCACCUAUUGCUUCAUGGCGAAAGGUGCUAAGGUACUCAAAUACAACUCCUCUGACUCUAGUGAAAAUGAAUCUGAUGAGGAUCUCAAGCCCAGCUACUCUAAACUUGCUAAAAUUGCUGUGAAACAACAACGGGCUCUUGAAAAGGUUCAAAACAUGCUAGAUAAAAGUGAUGAUAUGUUGGGUGAAGAAAUGGAUCGCACUAAAGCCUUGACUGAAAAUCUUCAGAGACUUCAGUCUAGGUUUGAUAACCUUCAAGGUCAUCAUAACUCUCUCUUGUCUGAUCAUGAGAAACUUUCUUAUGAAUUUCUUCAAGAAAAGCAAGAUCACGAGAAGCUUUCUCUUGAAUCUCUUCAAAGAAAGGAAGAUCUUGAAAAGCUAAGAGUGUGUUAUGAAGAUCUUCAGAAGGAGCGCGAUUCAUUACUUGCUCAACAAAUCAGCGCUUCUCAGGAAGAAUUUGUUCCUCCAUGCUUAAAGUGCAUUGAACGUGAAUCUGCUAAUUCUUCACCUGAAUGUUCAAAUGCUUCAAAUGUUACAAAUUCUUCAUCUGCCUCUGCUAUCACUAAUUCCUCAUCUGAGGACAUUGCUAGUAUCACUGACAAUGCAGGGCUGAAGGAAUUGUACAUGACAGGCAUGUACAAAAGCCUCAAAGGGCAUCAGACACUUUGUGAUGUGCUCAAAAAGCAGAUCCUCAACAGAAACCCUAGGAAGGAGGGUAUUGCCUUUGAGAGGAAACUCAAUGCUGAUGGAACAUAUUGGAAGCUUGAGCAGUACCCCAAAACCUCGUGCGUUGCUGCAAAGGGACCUCCAGUUGAUCCAUCUAACUUAUCUGGCUUUACAUGUGAAUCUCCUCAUUCUUCUGAUGAGUCAUUUGACUCCAACUAUAAACUGUUCAAAACUAGAAUGGUGAAGUAUUUGCUAGAUAUGUUGGCACUAACUGCAGGAACGGUUCCCCUAUGAAGAAAAUCUGGGUUCCCAAAAGCUGUGUUGAAAGUCUUCAGGUGAAUGUCCUCAUGACACCACCUGUGAAGAACAGGAACCCCAGAUCAAAUUCUUCAUAUGGACCAAAUUCUUCAUAUGGAUCAAAUUCCUCAACUGGAUCAAAGUCCUCAUAUGAUUAUCAUCGUGCUAACAACUCUAUCUCGCAGGGUAGAGCUAAGGGUUAUGAAUAUGUGCAUUAUUCUUCAAACCAUUAUGUUCAUAAGUCCUCGAAGAAUUACUCUGCUUAUUCAUAUGCUUACCCUAACCCCUCUUAUGUGAAGCGAAAUGGUUUGGCAUCUUUGCCACCUUUCUCAUAUGGUGCUCGCAGAAUGAUGAACUCUUUGCCACCCCUCCAGAUGUGGGUGGUGAAGAAAAAGAACUAAUCUCCUCUGCAGGGUUAGGUCUCCAGACGUGCUCUAACGUCUGAAGAAUUUGCUGGGGACCUGACAAAAAUGCCUGAAGGGACGCAGGAGAAUUAUGAUGAAAUGAACUUUCAUUUCACACGUCCUCAUACUGCUAUACCUGUUUACUGCUUGAUGAAAUUCAUCUGAUGAACUUGAUAUCAUAUUCUUCACUGAUGAAGCAUAUGAGAUUGUAAGCUACACUAAUUCAUCUGCAGGAUGAUCAACUCAAAACCACUGAAUGGGUCCUCGAUAGUGGAUGUACAAAUCACAUGACUGGUGACAAGAAUCUAUUGGUGGAUGCUCCCUUAUCACCGUCACCUCUGAAGCAUAUCAUCUUUGCUGACAAAGGCAAAAGUCAGGUAUUGGGUCUUGGUAAGGUUGCUAUCUCUAAGGAUAAGCACAUGGACAAAGUCAUGCUUGUUGAGUCCUUAGGAUACAAUAUCAUGUCAGUCUCAAUGCUUUGUGAUCUUGAUAUGGUUGUUGUCUUUGGCAAAUAUCGCUGUGUUGUGAAGCUGACAAUUCCAAAGUCUUCGAAGGCUUUAGGAGAGGAGAUCUGUAUAUUGUUGAUUUCUCUACAGGACCACAACCAGCCGUGUGUCUACUUGCAAAAGCUUCAGAAGGCUGGCUAUGGCAUCGACGACUUGGUCACGCAGGCAUGAGGAAUUUGAACACGCUUGCGAAGAAGAAGCAUGUCAUUGGCAUUGAGAAUGUCAAAUUCCUCAAGGAUCACUUAUGCGGAGCCUGUGAGGCUGGGAAAAUGACCAAGGCCAAGCAUCCAGCGAAGACUAUCAUGACCACUACCCGUCCAUUCGAAUUGCUUCACAUGGACCUCUUCGAACCUAAUCAUUAUUCAGCAGUCACUAAUGAUGCAUCUCUAUAUGGUUUUGUCAUUGUUGAUGAUUAUUCUCGAUAUACAUGGGUACACAUUGUUACUUACAAACAUGAAGUGCAGGAAGUCUUCAAACGAUUUUCCUCGAGGGCUUCAACCAACUUUGGUGUGAAGAUCAAACAUAUCAGAAGUGACAAUGGAACUGAGUUCAAGAAUUCCGGUCUUGAUGCUUAUCUUGAUGAACUUGGUAUUACUCAUGAGUUAUCUGCUCCCUAUACUCCUCAGCAGAAUGGCGUCGUAGAGCGCAAGAACAGAACUCUUGUUGAGAUGGCUCGCACUAUGCUUGAUGAAUACAAAACGCCUCAGCGUUUUUGGAUUGAUGCAAUUGAUACUGCUUGCCACAUCAUCAAUAGAGUAUAUCUUCACAAAUUCUUCAAGAAGACUGCCUAUGAACUCCUCACUGACAAGAAAUCCAAUGUGAGUUAUUUCAAAGUCUUCGGUGCUAAAUGUUGGAUUAGAGAUUCUCACCACAACUCUAAAUUUGCACCGAAAGCACAUGAAGGUUUUAUGCUUGGUUACGGAAAGGACUCGCACACCUACAGAGUCUUCAACAUUGUUCUUCACAAGAUUGUUGACACUGUAGAUGUGCGGUUCGAUGAAACUAAUGGCUCGCAAAGAGAGCACCUACCUUCUGUGUUAGAUGAACCAGCACCUGAGGAUGCUAUCAAGCUCAAGGCAACUGAGGAUGUUAUUCCGACUGAAGAAUCUGCUGAAGAAUUCAUUCCUAUUCGUGAAGAACGUCGAGCUGAUGCACCUGAAGAACAAGAUGAGGAAAAUGGUGCUGAAGAAAAUGCUGAUCAAAAUCCUCAGCGACAACCAACUCAUCCACGCGUUGCAAAAGAAGUGCAAGUGGAGAAGAUCAUCGAUGACAUUAGCGCACCAGGUCCUCUCACACGCUCAAAAGCAUCACAUUUAUCUAACUUUUGUGGGCACUAUGCUUUUGUCUCUAUCACAGAGCCCACUAAGGUAGAUGAAGCAUUUCUGGAGCCGGAGUGGAUUCAGGCUAUGCAAGAAGAAUUACAUCAGUUCGAGCUGAACAAUGUCUGGGAAUUGGUCAAUCGCCCAGAUCCUCGCAAGCAUAAUAUCAUUGGCACAAAGUGGAUCUACCGCAACAAGCAAGAUGAAAAUGGCCUUGUGGUGAGGAAUAAGGCACGACUAGUAGCUCAAGGCUACACACAGGUUGAAGGAAUUGAUUUCGAUGAAACUUUUGCACCUGUUGCUAGACUUGAGGCUAUUCGCAUAUUACUUGCUUACGCUAACCAUCAUGAUAUCAUCUUAUAUCAAAUGGAUGUGAAAAGUGCAUUCCUCAAUGGUAAGCUUGAGGAAGAAGUAUAUGUUGCUCAACCCCCAGGUUUUGAAGAUCCCAAGAAUCCUGACAAAGUCUUCAGAAUCAAUAAGGCCCUCUAUGGCCUCAAGCAAGCCCCUCGGGCGUGGUAUGAUACAUUGAAGGAAUUCUUCGUGAAGAAUGGCUUCACACCCGGUUCACUCGACCCUACUCUUUUUACUAAAUCAUACGAUGGUGAACUGUUUGUGUGCCAAAUAUAUGUUGAUGAUAUUAUCUUUGGCUGUACUAACCAACGUUAUAGUGAUGAAUUUGCCUAUAUGAUGAGUGAAGAAUAUCAAAUGUCUAUGAUGGGAGAGUUGAAAUUCUUCUUAGGUCUUCAAAUUCGUCAGCAGCGCAAUGGCAUAUUCAUAUCUCAGGAGAAAUACCUCAAAGAUGUACUGAGGAAAUUCGGCAUGCAAGAUUGCAAAGGCGUCAAAAUUCCUAUGCCCACAAAUGGCCAUCUAUGCACUAAUGAAAAUGGUAUUGACUUUGAUCACAAGGUAUACCGCUCCAUGAUUGGUUCCUUAUUGUACUUAUGUGCAUCUAGGCCAGAUAUAAUGCUUAGUGUUUGCAUGUGUGCCCGAUUUCAAGCUGCACCGAAGGAAUCACACCAUAAGGUUGUGAAGCAUAUUCUUCGAUAUCUAGCUCACACACCAACACUAGGAUUAUGGUACCCCAAGGGCUCUGCUUUUGAUCUCAUUGGAUAUUCUGACUCUGACUAUGCUGGUGAUCGUGUGGACCGCAAGUCCACAUCUGGCACUUGUCAUUUCCUCGGACGAUCUUUGGUCUGUUGGUCCUCGAAGAAACAGAACUGCGUAUCACUGUCUACUGCUGAAGCUGAAUACAUUGCUGCUGGCUCAUGCUGUGCUCAACUGCUUUGGAUGAAGCAAACCCUCAAGGACUAUGGCGUCAACGUGAAGAAUGCGCCUCUCCUCUGCGACAAUGAGAGUGCCAUCAAGAUUGCUCACAACCCAGUUCAGCACUCGAAGACUAAGCACAUCCAGAUUCGUCAUCAUUUUCUUCGUGAUCAUGUGUUGAAGGGCGACAUCUCCAUCGAGCAUGUGAAGACUGAAGAACAGCUAGCUGAUAUCUUCACUAAGCCCUUGGAUGAGAAGAGAUUUAGCAAGUUGCGGUGUGAGCUAAAUAUCUUAGAAUCUUCGAAUGUUCUUUGAAAAGGACACACAUCCUAACCCUUAUGCAGAAUUGAUGACUUAGAUGUGCAACACAUGAAGAAACGUUUUUCUUCAAUCAAUGAAGAAUAACACUCAAAGUGUGAAGAAAUUAAUGAGGAAUUUGAUUCUCAGAACCCUACGACAAUUGUACGUGGUGUCUGAAAUCAUCAUUCUUAUACGGUGGGACACGCCACCACAAAAGUUGAAAAUCUUCAAUUUGAGUUUUUCCUCAUUUUUGAAAUUCCUCAGUCUUUCAAAUUCUUCAACUUUGCAAAAUCUUCACUGUUUCCGUCGUUUUUCUUCAUUGACUAUAUAUAUAUAUAUAUAUAUAUAUAUAUGUGUGUGUGUGUGUGUGUGUGUGUGUGUGUGUGUGUGUGUGUGUGUGAGUUUAUGUCCUCUACAACAUUCACUUAUUGCUAUUUCUUCAAGUUGCGAUUUCUGCUAAGUGAAUGUGAUCGGACCCUUCCCCCUCUAUGCUAUAAUCAACCCAAUCUAUUCACAAAUUCUUCAUGUGCGUUCUAAUUGAAACUCGUUCAAAGUCUUCACUGUGUCCUUGUCAGCUGAAGAAAUUGUGAACGAAUUUUUAAAAACAAAUCUUAUCCAGAUUUUCGGUUUUACCGCUCAAACCGUUCCGCAUCCCACGAUGCAUUAGUUUAUUCACCCACGAUCUUACACGAUCUCAUCUGCACAGUAUGUGGGUGACACAUGUCGCGUGAAGAAGAAAGGGCAGGGGCAUGUUCGUCCCAAAAUCUUCGGGCGAACAAGUUUUUACUAUGGCUAUAAAUACCCCUCUCCCUUCCUUACUUCAUUUACUCCGCUCGGUCGCUGUCUCUCGCUCGAGCUCUCCUCAAACCCUAGCGCCGCCGCUACUCCAUCGCCGCCGGUGAGGAAGAGCUUCACUGCCUCGACCUCGUCGCCGUCGUACUCGCGCCGGCUGCGGAAAUCUUCACUCCGCCGCCGCCGUAGCUGUCUCCCUCUGCCAAGUUAGGGCGUGGGAGAUCUAACUUGACGAACUUCAUCGCUGUUCAUCUCUGUUCGUCGUGUUCUUCAGUUCGGGUAAUUAAAAGUCACUUUUAUUACUCGCUUUGAUUCUCAAACUUUUCUGAAAAUCUUUGAAGGUGUUUUAUUCUUCAAAUCUUCACAUAUGAACACCUCACACACUGUAUGCUCUUGAUCCAUCUCUCUAAGCACUCAAUUCUUCAAGAUUCCUCAAUUGUGCGGAUUUUCAAUCUGUACAACUCUGGAACCUAAGACAAGAACGCUUAGUGAAAUUUCUCAAGGCUCAACUGGUCAAAUUCCUCAAAACUUGUCUUUUCGAAAAAAAUCUUCUGAGAACGCAUAUGACCUCUCCAAAUUCCUCGCACCUACACUCUGUUCACAGGUACUCAUGUCCGCUGCUGAAUCACUAAUUUCUCAUCAACUUAACUCAUUUGCAGUGUUCCUCGAAGAAAAACUGCAUACUUCCUCAGAGUGUUCUAUUGUUCAAAUUCCUCAUCUGAAGAAAAUGGUAGAAGGAAAGAGACCGCAGAAAGGAGGAAAGAGACUGGAGGUCAUGACUGCUUUCGAGAUCCCUGAUGAAAUAUACAAGGAUUAUUGCACACCUGAUGAAGCCAAGUUUGGCAAAGAAAACAAGAAUCAGCGCAAAGUGCGCAUUCAGAGGAUUGAACGAAGAUGGGCACGAGAAUGGAGGGAAUAUCGAUAUGUUACUCCGAAGUACAUGAAGAAAUUCGCCUUAAAUCCUCCAUGCCCAAGAGCUCCAUUGGCACCUGGCCAAGUCGCUGAUCCCACUAGCAUCAAAAGUGGUGAAGACUUUCCUGAAGAAUGGGCUAGGCGCCAAGCAAAAUUGGCAAGACAAGCCAAGCAGGCAGUGAGGAAAUUCAAUGAGGAUUCUGCUGCUGCUGCUGCCGCUGAGACCUUGGUCAAGCCGAGGAAAUCAAUGCUGAAGAAGCCUGCUCGGAAGUCAAGUGCUUCACCAUCAUCACCCUCACGGCCCAGUUCCUCAGCCGCGCCCUCACAGCAAAUUCCUCAGACUACUGCUGCACCACCAAAGUCCUCAGCAGCUCCCUCCAAGUCCUCAACUCCUGUGCAUCUGGCUACAUGUCAAAGGACUCAGGGUUUCUCAAUUGCUUCUGGUGUCUCAGCGAGUUCCUCAGCUGCACCAAUGUCCUCAUCAGGCCCCACUCUACUGAAGACAAAAGCAACAGCUGGACGCGGUCCUCGGCCAAGUCCAAGAAAGAAACAGGUUUCUUUCCAAGUGCCCUCUGAUGACGAGGCUUCUAAUGAAGAACUUGCAGAAAUCAUCAGAGACAGACAAGCAAAGGCCGCUAGAGCCAAAGGAACACCUGUGCCUCUGCUUCUGGAUCCGAAGAAGAUCCUCGACUACAUCGACUUAUGGCAUCAGGAUCCAAACACUCCAAUGCCUGAUCUGCCUCUGACUCCUGGUCAAAGUCAUAUGCUGACCCAUUUCAUCUCUGAAGAGAAAUGGAAGUUUGAAAAGGCUCGUGAGAUAAAGAGAGCACAAGCUAGAAAGGAGAAGCUUCUGAAGAAGAACAUCGUCAGACUGACUCCUGAAGAACUUCUCAAGGCUCAAUCCGAGAUCCAAGCCCUCAGCAAAGAUUUCGAUGCAUACAAUGCUGAUUGGCAAGGAGCCAAAGUGAGAUUCGUCAAUUUGACAAAGAAAAUGACAACUGUUGCAGCCCCAUCGCAACAAGCAAAUCAUCAGGCUGCAGACUCUGCUCAGCCUGCUGAAGAACAUGCCAGCACUGCUGAUCACUUUCAGCCUGCUGAUGAGAAUACAAGUUCCAGGGCUGAUGACUCCAUUCCAGCCGCUGAAGAAAUUCCCAGGGCAUCCACUAGUGGUGCGCCUGAAGAAACUGAAGAGAUCAGGGCAACUGCACCAGUUGCGCCUGAAGAAAAUGAACCACAGUCCUCAGCUCCUCCUGCGCCAACACCAACUCCAAUUCUUCCUUCUGCUUAUGAAGUGAAGAAGACCAAGGCUGCAGAGCGAGCUGCAGUGAAGAAAAGGAAGGCAUCAGAUGCGUCAAAUUCUUCGGCCGCGAAGAAAAUGAAGCCAAUGACCAGCUCGCUUGAAAAUCCUAUUGAUGCCGUUCCGAUUUCCUCCAUGUCAUCAAAGGAAAUUGUUCCUUAUGGAGAAGACUACAAGAUCCCAAGUGGAUCUGAUGAAGAAAAUCAUUUUGUUGCUACCUCAGAGCAGUUUGAUGAAGAAAUUGAAGUAGAAACAUUCCCUUCAACGCCAGUCGUUUCCUCACCUAUGCCUCAGUUCACAGCUGAAGAGGCUGGUGUUGAGGAAAUUGAAAAAUAAGAAGAAGAUGUGGAUAUUGGAUGCACUACACCAGUGAUGAACGAUGACUUUUGGGAAAGUCAGCAUCCCAAUACUCCUCUCUUCACUCCUAUUCAACAAAUUCCUCAGUCCCCGGCUACAACUGUUCAGAUGGGCUCUGAAGAAACUCAUCCCACAUCGUUGGUUCAUGAAGAAAUUCCAGCCGCUAGUGCUGAAGAACCUGCUGCUGCUGAUCCCCAAACUGCACAAGAAGAGGAACCAGAAAUUCCUCAGCCUGAAGCACCUGAGAUCGUGAUUCCUGAGGUAGUGCUACAAAUCACUGACACUCCUCUGCCCAAACCGAAGAAUUCGUUCUCUAGCAAGCAAAAAUUCAAGGUUGAAGACUUCUUUUCUGAGCAUGUGUUCUUCACUGAUUACAAUCCAUACGACUCUGCUCGCAUAAGGAAGAGACGUUUCUGGACUGCUACUCAAGCCAACUACUAUUCCUCAGUGCUCUUUGACAAGGACAAAAUCUUCGAUCAUGAGCAUAUUCCUCAUGUGGAUAUGGAAUCUCUGCCGUGCUUCGAGCCAGUCCUCCGCGUUAUUCACGAUGCAGUACUACUGAAUUUUUGCACUGAUAUCUGUGAUUGGAAUGAAGAACUCAUUCUUCAGUUCUAUGCCACUUUGCAUAUCGCCGGAGAUGCUGAAGAUGUCAAUUCAUGGGUGCUGGAUUGGAUGACAGAAAAUACUCACUACAAGGCACUAGCAACUGAAUUGCUUCGUGUCCUUCCUCUUGAUCCUCCCCAUGACAGUGCAUGUUGCAUCUACAAUGACCGAGAACUAACAGAUCAUUAUAUGCAAGUGCUCAUGAAGCUUUUGAAGCCAGGGCAGGCCCCUCGAACCAAAUUCCUCGUCAAGGAAUUGCUGUAUGUGCCUUGGACUGUCUAUCGAAUCCUGACGAAGACAAUGAGUCCUAUCAAAGGCCACGACUCAAAUGAUGAAGAUGUCGUUGGCAUCAUGAAGAACAUGCUUUUCAACAUCAUUCAUGGCGUUCCCGUCAACUUCCAUGCUUUCUUCAUGAGGACUUUGGCUAAUGUUGCAAUGUCACCUUUUGAGCUGAAGCCCUAUGCGCCUUGGAUUAUGAGAUUCAUAAGGGCAAGAUCUUCACUGAACUACAAGGCUGACACUCUGAACCAUGGUAGCUACUUGCCGCCCAUUGAAGUCCUCAAGCGACCAGUUUCAUCAUCUGAUGAUAAGGGCAAGGCAGCUGCUGUGAUCGAUGAAGGCAUUCGUCCAUUGGAUGGUCAAUUCCGUCUGGCUACAUCUUACUCCACCAAUGACGAUUCUGCAACACAUGACACUGCCGCAAAUACAUCAGCCAAGCAAAAGCCUCAAGCAACAGCACCCAGGGUGAUGACUGACCGUGAGUUACUCCUCAGUCUUCAUCAGAAGGUUGAUCGCAAUCACAAAUGGGUGAAACGCCAAUUUGCUGCAAUUCUUCACAACAUGACCUCAACCCAUAAUGCAGUGAAGAAAAAUCAGUAUCACCUUCAUGAAACCCUCAACCGCACCUGGGCUGUUCUCACUCAUGUAUAUUCCGCGGAAGAACUAAAGACUAUGGGUCUCCAGGAAGCAUUUGACUGGUCUGCACCACCUCCGAAGAAAUUCAAGAGAGUCAAAGUUCCUGAUCUGGUGGCCAGUUCUUAUUCUUCAUCGCGUGAAACUGAUGAACAUGAAAAUUUGGACGACACUACGGCAGGCCCUACUUCAACGAACAACCCCAACAACGUUGGUGCUCCUCCAUCGACUUGAAAUUCUUCAGGGGCGUUAGUCCUCAGUUUCGAUCCUUUUGGUCAUUUGAUGACAAAGGGGGAGAAAUCUGAGUUAGUCUUCAAGCGGGUUUAUAUUAUGGGCGUUUUGCUAAGUUACAACUCUCGUUCUUCCGAAACUUUUUAUUGGAUCGAGUUGUAAUCUUAAAUCCGAUGGUGCCCUGAUACUUUUGGACGGUGCAUUGUGCUCUGACUUUGAUGCACUGUGCUCUGAUACAUUUUAUGUGUCAUUCUGCAUGCUUAUUCCUCGUUAAUAUUAUUGCACGCAUGCUGAAUCUCAUCAGGCACCAUAUUUCAUCAUGCAUUUCAAAUUCUUCAUAUUAUAUAUCAAAUGCGUGUAUGAAUUACAAGAUAUAGGGGAAGAUCUCCAUGAUUCAAAUUCUUCAAAUGUGCAUUGCCUCAAAAGCAAAUUCCUCACUAUGCACAUAUUCAGGGGGAGUUCUUCUAUAUCUUGCAAUCAAAUUCCUCAAUAUCAGUAUUUACACUUCAUAUGUUUAUCCCCGUUGAAAACUUAACCUAUGUUGUCAUCAAUCACCAAAAAGGGGGAGAUUGUAAGUGCAUCUAGUGCCCCUUAGUGAUUUUGGUGUAUUGAAGACUUAUAGGUUAAGUAACUGAUGCGUUUGUGAGUGUACACAGGUCUAUAAGUCUAUGAGGAGUUUGAUAUUUACAGAGAAAGUCGACCCCUAAAAAUGAAGUUCUUCGACUGAAGACUUUGAUAUUCUGAAGACUUUCUGAAGACUUUGAAAGUGAAGAAAUUGGUGUGACCUUGAAGACUUGGUAUUCAUUCGAGGAAUAUGGGGCGUGAAGACUUUUGUUUUCGUAGUUUCAUUUUCUCUUUCUUGAGUCAUAGGAAACACCGUACUGUUAAAGGGGGUCGAGGAAAUACUAAGGAAAAAUUUCCAUGUGAUGCUCAACUCAAAAUCCUACACCUACCAAUCCCUUCAAGUGAAGCCAUUGGAAAUCUCAUACAGUUCAGUCAAUUUCUUCAGUGACAGAGACGCAGUUCUUCUGGUCACUAAGGACUUUGCUCUGACUGAGGAGUUAGAAAUUCGCCAGUGCGAAUUGCCUACACAGUGAGGAACAUGAUAGCCCUGAGGAAUUUGAGAGUCAAAUUUCCGACCGUUGCUGUGCUGCGCGCCGGCUGUCCAAAAUAUCUUAUCCACCUAACGGUCAUAUCAUUGAAGGGCAUUUAUGUCUUAUCAUGUCGGGCUGCUCCCUGGGCUAUAAAUAGCCGCCCCCUACAACCACUAGUUGGUUGGCUGCUCCAAGAGAACUUGACACUUGUCAUUUGAGAGCAACCCAUCCUCCGAGGACUUUGAGCGAAAAUCAUCGAGUGAGGAAAAUCCCAAAACCAAACCCCCACAAACCCAAAGUGAUUGAGCAUCACUGAAGAAAUUGAUCCUGCGUGGAUCCGACGCUUGUUACCUUUGAAGACUGUGCUUCUUCCAGACGGUUAGGCGUCAAGGUCUAGAGCAUCCAAGAGGAAUUGUGGAUCGCCGAGUGACCAAGUCUGUGAAGGUUUGGAAGUCACAUGAAGACUUACCACGAGUGAUUGGACGAGGCCUGCGUGGUCUUAGUUCAAGGAGAAUACGGUGAGGACUGGGUGUCCUGAGUUGCGGCUCAGAGACUGGGUGUCCGGGACUGCGUGUCCUCGAGUUUAAAUACUCAGCCGCUCCAACCAGACGUACAACUGAGACAGCAGUUGGAACUGGUUUACCAAAUCAUUGUCUUCACCAACUAACUGGUUCUAAUUCCUCAACUCUUUCAUUUCCUCAUUACUGUGUUGUAUGUUGUUCAUAUCUGUGCUUGAAGACUUUGACUGAAGACUUCCACAAAUUCCUCAGUUCAAUUUCUUCAGUCUGUCCGUCUUCAUCUUGUUAUCCUGUGUUUACGCUUUCUGUACUCUGUGCUAGUCUUCAUUUCAUCAUGAUGACUAUGUUUGUAUCCUGUUACGUUUACUUCUGAGUACUUAUUCCGCUGCAAGUAGUUCUUCAGUAAGGAAUUUCCUCACCAGCAAAUUCCUCAGUGAAGAAUUCAUAAAAAUCGCCUAUUCACCCCCCUCUAGUCGAUAUAACGCACUUUCACAUUGCAAUACCGUUUUCGCUCACUUUUGUUACUAGUUACCUUGCUGUUUUUAUAUUUUUAGAUUACAAAAAUCCAUAUCUUCUAUCCAUAUUGCACUUGUAUCACCAUCUCUUCACCGAACUAGUGCACCUAUACAAUUUACCACUGUAUUGGGUGUGUUGGGGACACAAGAGACUCUUUGUUAUUUGGUUGCAGGGUUGUUUGAGAGAUAUCAUCUUCAUCCUACGCCUCCCACGGAUUGAUAAACCUUAGGUCAUCCACUUGAGGGAAAUUUGGUACUGUCCUACAAACCUCUGCACUUGGAGGCCCAACAACGUCUACAAAGAAGAAGGUUGCAUAGUAGACAUAACUCACCAUCACCUUCUCCUGUAUCGCAGUGUACUGUUUUGCAAAUUCUACUAGCGAGUUAUUUGGGUUGACGUACUUCUUCAACACAAUGUUGAAUCCCUCGCUCCUUGUCGUGGUCUGCAAGAAUGGGAAGAAGUCGUGCAUGUAGUACAUCGGGACCCAGCAUUCCUUGUUUUCCCACAGCCAAUGGAAAUGUUUGUUGUCCGUUUGCCCAUGAUCAUCCACCAUUUUUCCUCAAACUCCUCCACUGUAUUCAAAAACCAAGGAGAUGGUAACUUCAGUGCGCAUAUCAUGGUAAUUCUAACAUACUUAACAUGAUAACUUGCUUCAGGGGACAAUAUGUGGUUCUCGUUCAUGCAGAAUGGGGAACUCCCCCAAUGCACAUAAUUAAGGAUCUAAUCACAGAUAUUUGUGACUCUAUCUCAUAUAACUUCCACUCCAUGCAAAAAUGAAAGAGAUGAUAACUCAAUUCCACAUAUCAUGAUAACUUUUGAUGCACUUAACAUGAUAACUUACUUCACGCAACACUAGGUGGUUAUAGUCGAUGCAGAAUUGGGAAUUAUAACUACAUGGUAAACAUGCUCAAGUGGUUAUGGUCACUUAAGAACAUGAGUGCUGGUAACUCUUUCCGGGUACCAUAACAGUCCAAUUUUUCACAUGAAACCUUCUUUUAUAAAUGUGGGGAAAAUGUGUACUAUUGGUGGUAAUUUAUUAUAAUUCAGCAUGGUAACUUUGGAUAUCGCGGCACAAAUAUGUAGUUUGCAGUUAUAUGAGUGGAGUGUGUUUUGUGAAAAUACAAUACCAUUCAAGCUGUUGUCAACACAAUCUUUGAAUGAUUUAUUCAGUGGUUGAUCAUCAGCCAUUAACCUCCCAAGCUUCUCUUGUGCUUUCUUCAUAAUGUGUCAUCUGCAAUUUCUGUGUACUAUCCCGAUGAACACCUCAUCAAUAGCAUUCCUCAUGGCAAAGUCCUGAUCUGUGAUUAUGUUCUUUGGUGCAACCCCACCCAUCGCAUGCAAGAAUGUGUUAAACAACCACACAAAGUUGUCAGUCAGUUCAUUUCGGACGAAUCCACAACCAAAAAUGAUUGAUUGCCCAUGGUUGUUAAUGCCAAUGAAGGGGGCACACGACAUCUUGUACAUAUUAGUCAUGUAUGUUGUUUCGAACGACACAAUGUCAUUGUAUUUUGGGUAUUCCCUAUGUGAUGCGCCAUCUAUCCAGAACACAUUUUCCACCCUGUCUUCGUCAUCAAGUUUUAUUCUCCAAUAGAAAUCUGGAUCCUUUGCCCUGAGCUCCUCAAAGUAUGCAAUUGCGCUCCCCACGUUUGCAUUACGGUACUCCUUGCGAAAUUUGGCUCACUGAUUUGCAAGGUCUUGUGUUGUGUAUGGUACAUUCUCAGCAUUACCAUAGAUCCAUGAAAUUACUUGCAUUUGCCUCGUGGUCUCUAUGUUGCAUUCGUGUAGAAUCCAUAAGAAAUCUUGCUCGUCUUUGGGAAUGUUCCGAUGUGAUGCUAGAAAUUUUGUCAGGGAUGACUUUCUUAUCAGUGGGUGGUUGUGGUUGUUGUCAAAGCGUUCGACUCUCCACCACGCAUACUUGUCCGUAAGAUAAAGGUGGGCUGGACACUCAAUCCUCACAAUCUUCCGCCUUUUUUCUCUUCUUCAUGAUGCCUUAUGGGUUCAGCACAUCCCGCACCUCCUCCUCCUCCUCCUCCUUCUUCUUCUUCUUCUUCUUCUUCUUCUUCUUCUUCUUCUUCUUCUUCUUCUUCUUCUUCUUCUUCUUCUUCUUCUUCUUUGGCUUGCCGCCUUUCCCACACACCAAGAGUGCUCUGCUCACUAUGUUGUCCUUUCGUGUCCUUGUGUACUCUAUCUUUGUCCCAAAUCCAUUUGUGAGUGCAUAUAGCUCGUAGUGAGCAACAACCACCUCAAAAGUUUUAAACUUCAUUGUUGUAUCAGGAGCCUUAGGUGUGGAGUAUGCCUCAACAUUAAGCCCUCCUUAAUCAGCGUUCAGCGCUCCCGUUUCUGGACUUGUUGGCUCACUGACCGAUACAUCAAAGAACACCCCCCCACACACAAUGCUAGAAAUUGCUUCCUUGUUUGGCUCAUGGAUCCUAUGGUUAGAUGUAGGUGGAGCACCUGCAUGUUUUUCACAUGAAAUGGGCUAUGAGAACAUGAUUUAUCAUUUUUUGGGUGGUAACUUGUAUUGAACAUGUGUGGUAACUUGUAGUACGAUGUGAUGAUAACAUUCUGCAUACAACAUGGACAUAGCGUGGACACUUUUAUAAGUGAGUUGUCUCUUAGCUGAACCAAAGCUAGUCAUACACGCAUCAUCAUCAUGUUGUUUCUCUUGUCCAACACUCGUUGUGACAUUUGUGUUAUAUCCGUUGGUUUUCCGACAUGUUUUUGAAGCACCCGCUUACACGUGUUAAUAGCAUCAGCCAGACAACUGAAAAUAACACUAUUGUUUACAUACAUCAAUCACAUUUGCACAUGGUGCAUGUUAUCUCACUACUAGGGAAAAGCCUAGCAGCAGCGCGGGUUUUGGGCCUAUCAGUAGCGCGGGCAGGAGCGCUACUGAUAAGGCGCUACAGCUAAUGCUUAGCAAUAGCGCGUCUUGACCCACGCUACUGCUAAAUUGACUUAGUAGCAGCGGUUCUUUAGAACAUCGCUACUGGUAAUUAGUAGUAGCGCUUCUCCUUACCCGUGCUACUACUAUUAUUUAGUAUUUUAUUUCUUUUCUUUUUCAUGUUGUAUUCAUACACCUUUACACAAGUUUUCAUACAACAGGAAUUUAGAGAUUGUUUUUACAUCAUAAUGAGUUAUGACAUCAUGGGGUGAAAGAACCGUGGACUAGUUUCAAGUGGAUGUCCAUCCACUUGAAACUAAUCCGCGGUUCUUUCACCCCAUGAUAUAAUAAUAUCAUCAUCAUCAUCAUAUCAUUAACAACUUAGCAUCAUAAUACAUCAUUGUCAUAUAACACCUCCUCAAUAUCAUCGUUUUCAUCAUUGACAUCACAUAACACCUCCUCAAGAUCAUCAUUAUCAACUCUAACACAUUACCACAUAAUAAACAUAUUGUACCUCAUAGGACCUAUUACAUUCGAUUAAGACCUACUACAUUUUCUAAGGUAAAAUAACAAAAAACAAGAUAGCCCCUGACUCUCCAUUAUGGAGAAUGGAGAUUAGCCUGUCUCCCAUUCUUGCCUUUUGCUGAAUGUUACUUCCAAGAACCUCCUUGCGAAUGUCCAUACAUUUCUUCCAUUCUCUGAUGAUCAUGUGUUCACGGGUUUUAGAAAUCCGAUAUGCACAGGUGAGCUCCGUAGAUUUACCUGGCAGUAUGUUCAGAACUGAGAGGCGACCAUGCAGAGACAUCAGAUGAGGCACACAAUCCAUUGGGAGUUUCUGUUGAAAAACAUAAUAAUAACUUCGUAGUUAGCAAUGAUGUACUAGUUUUAGAAGUAUGCAAAAAAUGCACGGAUGUCGUAAUAGUAAAAAAUCUUACCAGGGUAUCUCCAGAGAAGUUAUCAUUGUUCAACACAUGCACUAGUGGCACGUAUUCACCAUAAUUUGGAGGAGUUCGAUAAUAGUCAUUGUAAUUCUCAAGAAGAGUACAAAAUGCAAUCAGAUGAUUUUUCUCCUUAUACAUUAAUUGGGUGCCUUCGGUGUAGUGGGUUUUAUCUACCAUCUUCCGCACAGUCUUUGAAGAAUCAAAAUAAGCUGUCAAUGGAAAUAAGCUAUCAACUAUUUUGAAAUAAACAAUAUAAAUUAGUUAAUAACUAUGUUUGAGAAACUCACAUAGCGGUACAAUCGGAAGCGUAUCAACAAGGACCCAAAUGUCCAUAUUGUCUUCCUCGCUGUCAGGAUCACCAAGAUCCAUGGUGACAAUCAUACCCUCAUAAAAACCAUACAUUUUGCAAAGUGCUUCCCAAUUUUGGCAACCAAAAUGGGUUACGCUCUGAACAUUGCACAGAUUUACUUCAAAAUCCAUAUCAUGAUGGGGCCUUAGGUGUAUUUUCUUUGUUUCGAAAUUUUCAUGGUCUUCAAAACCCAUCCUCUCCAAGACAUAGCGUCUUGCAUGGCAUGGGAUAAGCUAGUCGAAUUGUAAAAUAUGAAAAUUAGACGUUGAAAUAGUUGAAGUCAUGCUUAAUGGAGAAAAAAACACUUGUCGUUGUUGCGUACCGUUUCACAAUCGAAGGUCUCCUCGAGCUUAAUGCUGAAGCGCCGAUCUUCGUCCAGCCGAACGAACCUGUCGCACAUACCUCGAUCGUCGUGGCACCAGCUACACUCCCCCGGGAGACCGUCGUCGUCCGAGUACGACAUUUCUUACAAUCAUAAUUCAAAGAUUAAACUUGUACAUAUUCUAGCACAAGUCAUGCCAGAAUUCACGACAAAAUCCGGCAUGACCUUUGCUAAAAAAGGACAUAUCGAGCGCCUGAAAUUUGCCGGAACGAAAAUUAAUCAACACUCCGGCAAAACAUAGGCCACUCGGAGAUGUAAACUGAACAUGAAUGGCCACUUGGGCAACCACAUAUCCAAUUUGAGCAACAACACAAGAUAUACAAGGAUAUUUGGCUGGUCUCACCUCGAUGUCCGAGGGGGUCGGUGACUGGGACGACGGCGGGGAUGUCGGAGGGGGUCGGUGACGGGGACGACGGAGGUCACCUGAAACCAUAUAAGUUAUCACUAACAACAAACAUGACAUGUUCAACUAGUUUUAUUAAUUCAACUAGUUCUUACUAAAUAUAAACUUACUAUAAAUAGAAAAAAACUAGUUCUUUCUAAAAAUAAAGUAGUUCAACUAGUUAUAUUAAUUAUCUUACUAAAAAUAGAUUAGUUCUGUUAAUUCAACUAGUUCAACUAGUUUAUUAAUUUACUUACUAAACUAGUUCAACUACAACUAAAGUAGUUCAACUACCACUACUACUACUAAAAAUCUAGUACUAACUAAGCAACAUCUAGUACUAGCUAACCCUAAAUUAACAUCUACUACUACUAAAUCUAGUACUAACUAGUGGCAGGGGGUGGGGGGCGACGGAGAGGUAGCUAGGGGCGGCGAGGUCGAGGGCGGUGGGAGGAGGGCUGCCGGCGGAGGAGGGAGGAGGGGCGGCCNNNNNNNNNNNNNNNNNNNNNNNNNNNNNNNNNNNNNNNNNNNNNNNNNNNNNNNNNNNNNNNNNNNNNNNNNNNNNNNNNNNNNNNNNNNNNNNNNNNNNNNNNNNNNNNNNNNNNNNNNNNNNNNNNNNNNNNNNNNNNNNNNNNNNNNNNNNNNNNNNNNNNNNNNNNNNNNNNNNNNNNNNNNNNNNNNNNNNNNNNNNNNNNNNNNNNNNNNNNNNNNNNNNNNNNNNNNNNNNNNNNNNNNNNNNNNNNNNNNNNNNNNNNNNNNNNNNNNNNNNNNNNNNNNNNNNNNNNNNNNNNNNNNNNNNNNNNNNNNNNNNNNNNNNNNNNNNNNNNNNNNNNNNNNNNNNNNNNNNNNNNNNNNNNNNNNNNNNNNNUAUGGCAACUAUAGCAGUAGCGCUGUAUGCGAUACACGCGCUACUGCUAUUUCCAAGUCAGCAGCGCGUUUCGUAGACACGCGCUGCUGCUAAGUAGCAGUAGCGUGGUAUUUUGAAGAGCGCUGCUAGCAAGAUUCUGUGUAUAGGCUUUUCCCUAGUAGUGUCUUUUGUACUUUUUUUGUUAUUCUUUUUGAGUUGACAUGGAUAUUAUCAUUUUUUCUGCAGGUAACAUUUGUUACUCAUUCGGGACUCUAUUUCUACUUGGCAACACCAUUCACUGCUUCAAAGAUUAGUUGUACUUUUUUAUGGUAACUUUGCAUAGAUGCACCAUGUUGCAUUGGUAACAGAUGACAAAACCGAUGAUAACUUUGUAUGACAAAAUGUGGUAGCUUUCUCUAUACAAUAAUUGUAACAAGUAUAUGGAUUGAUGAAUUGGGGUGUUGUGACAAAGAGCGGAGUUUCUGCACCCGGGCUCAUCUGCACCCUUGCUCUGAAAAAACAUCAAAACAAAUACUAGAAAAUUUAAAAAAAAAUCCAAUUUUAUUCUGGUAGGUAAUUUGAUGCGUGAGGUUCGCUCCAAAUUUCAACUCAUUUGGACAUCUGAGCAGCUCUUGGUAAAAAAGACAAAUUCAAGGUCUGUAAAAAAGUUUACUAUUCAUGCACUGUUCUGAUUCGAUUUGUCUUUUUUGCCGAGAGCUGCUCAAAUGUCCAAAUGAGUUGAAAUUUGGAGUGGACCUCACGCACCAAUUUAUCUACCACACAAAAAAUUGUUUUUUUUCAAUUUUUAAGUAUUUGUUUUGAAUUUUUUUUCUGAGCAGGAGCAGGUGAGCCUGGGCACUGAAUUGGAUUUCCGUGUUGUGACUUCUCUUUUUUACAUACAACAAGUGUUGUGUAGCCUAAUUUCACUAUUUUUGUGAAAUAAGUUGAAAAUGAGCUGCCUUUUUUCAAGAAAAAAUCCUGCAUAUGUCCUGAUAACUCAUGUAUUCUACACAUUGUUACUUCCCCUGGUAACUCAUUUCUACCAUGCUGGUAGCUUCUAUGUACACAGUAUGAUAAAAUAGGAAAAAUGGCCCUUUUUUUUCCUUUUGAUUGGGGCCUUUUGGUUUGAACUGAAUUGAAAUUCAGAUACAGUAGGGAAUGCUUAGAUGUACCUGAUCCACCUAGAUUCUUGCUAGAUUCUGGAUGCCUGGUAAGUUCUGGUGUCCCUGGUGGUAGAUCAAGUUGAGAUCUGGUGGUAACUUGAGUUCCCCAAGCGUUUCUGCAUGAUUUGUGAAGCAAUUGCUGGAUUCUGGACACUUGGUAAGUUCUGGUGUCCCUGGUGGUAGAUCAAGUCGAGAUCUGGUGAUAACUUGAGUUCCCCAANNNNNNNNNNNNNNNNNNNNNNNNNNNNNNNNNNNNNNNNNNNNNNNNNNNNNNNNNNNNNNNNNNNNNNNNNNNNNNNNNNNNNNNNNNNNNNNNNNNNNNNNNNNNNNNNNNNNNNNNNNNNNNNNNNNNNNNNNNNNNNNNNNNNNNNNNNNNNNNNNNNNNNNNNNNNNNNNNNNNNNNNNNNNNNNNNNNNNNNNNNNNNNNNNNNNNNNNNNNNNNNNNNNNNNNNNNNNNNNNNNNNNNNNNNNNNNNNNNNNNNNNNNNNNNNNNNUGGAAUAUGGACGCUUGGUAAGUUCUGGUGUCCCUGGUGGUAGAUCAAGUCGAGAUCCGGUGGUAACUUCAGUUUCCUCAAGUGUAUUGCAUGACUUGUGAAGCAAUUGCUGGAUCGGGUUGGGGUGAGGGGGGCGGGGGUAGGGGACGGAGAUGAAUGGUUGAGUUCGUCGUUGGGGCGAGAGAAAGGGGAAGAGGAGGAUCGAUGGAGAGUGUUUGUUAUAUUUUCUUGCUGUGGAGGUAAGAAAGUUGGGGUUUAGUGGUGGCGCGUGAUGGUUGUGGGCCUGGGUCACGUGAGGGGCCCUGAGAUGGGCCUUGCGAUUGCCUCGGCGGGACGGCUCGGCCUUGCGCGCUAUGCGCACUCGGACUUGUGAAGGUGGGGAUCGUUCGAACCUAUUGUAUAGAUACGAACGUUUGGCACUUAUCAGUCCUAAAAUAUAUUUAAGAAGUUAUUUAUCUCACUUAACCCUAUAUCACUUCUUUAAAGAAAAAAGGUGCAAGAAGUGCACGGAAUUAUACCGUAAACCGGCAUCAACACAAGGUUCAUAUAGAAAAUAAAAAAAGAAGUACCAACGUAUUACAACCUAGAUAUUGAGCAAAAGGCUAGACAUAAAGCAAAAAAGAGCCCGUGAUCGGUGAAGACUAAUCUUAUUAUCAUCUGAUGGUGAGUAGAUUGCCACAAUCCUAUUCCACACCGCGUUUGCCGCCACGGGAUAGAGAGAUUGUUUUUUUAUUUAGCUCCAGGGUGUCCCUACACCCUCAUGAACAGUAAUUGGAAUGAUUAACAUUUGCCCGUUGUAUGCCGUUAGACACAGAAAUUGGAAUUGUUGAAUUCUCGCAUUGUCUCAGGGAACAAAUCAUGUGGCUGACAAACUUGUUGCAAGAGUUUUACCGAGAAAAUCAAUUGAAAUUAGGCGGAUGAUGAAUCUUUAGUUUUAUUUUGAAUUUUCUUGUGAAGGAUGUGCGGCAUGACGACUUGAAAACAAUCAUGGAAUCCCAUGGAAGCAGCUCCCCUGACGUACUGCACAUGCCGUUGGGGGCACUGACAUGUGGGCCUGAUUCCCGACGGGCCCACCUGUCAGUGGCCAAACAGCGCAGCUAAUGAAUCAAUGAAUCAGUGGGCAAAUCGUUGUGUCCAUACAUUUGUGCCGCACGGCAGAGGAUCCACGUCCGGGAUCCCAUGUAGUCCAACGCUUGCUUUACAGCUCAGAAUCGGGUGGGCACACAGUCAUCAGUCCUCAUUAGUCAUCUCCAGACCCCAGAUCCGGAGCACCGACGACGGGAGACGAGGGGAAAGGCAAUCAAUCCCCCAGAUCAGAUCUAGAGCUGCGCGUGCCCUGAGCUCCUCGCCGUCGCCGGUGGUCGAGUCGAAUAUCCCUUCAUUCGGCUGCAGCUCCGACCAGCCCACCCCGGAGGUUGGUGCGGCGGGGGCUCCGACGAGCUCCAUCUGGCAAGCGGCGGCGGUGAAAGAGGAUUUGCAUCCGACAGCUGCGAUCCGAUUGAUUUUGGCUAGUCGCUUGCAUCGGUUCAUGAUUCAGGUUCGAUCCCACUUCCUUCUCCUUUUUCAAGCACAGCUACCAUGAGGUUCAAGGGGCUGAUUUGAGUGCUUUCCACAUGGUAGAUGCAGUCAACAGACGCACGUCUAGAGUAAGGCUGCAACUAGAAAGGAAAAUCAGUCCUGGGUGUGGCUACCAACUUCAGAAUUGGAAAGAUGAUUUAAGUUCUUUCCUCUAGAGUUCGAAAAAAGGAAGGAAAAUCUGUCCUGGUUGUGCAGUUGCUGGUUGCAUGGAGGCAGCAGUGGUGAGCGUGUCGCAGGGCGCCAUAGGUGCCGUCCUCGCAAAGCUUGGCGGCCUGCUUGCUGGAGAGUACACGCUGCUGAAAGAAGCGAGAGGCGAGAUCAUGUUCCUUAAAGCUGAACUUGAGAGCAUGCGUGUAUUCCUGGAGAGGAUGUCGGAAGCGGAGGAGGAGCCUGACAAGCAAGCCAAGUGCUGGGCGAACGAGGUGCGUGAUCUGUCCUACGGCAUCGAGGACAGCGUUGAUGAGUUCAUGCUCCUGGUGGAAUCUCAGUCCAACUGCGAGCUGCAUGGAUUUAAGGGGUUUAUUUAUAGGAGCAUCAACUUGUUGACGACGAUCAACACUCGGCAUAAGGUCGCCAAGGAGUUCCGAGGCCUCAAGAGGCGUGUCAUGGAGGUGAGCGAGCGACGUGUGAGGUACAAGAUUGAUGAUGCUGUCUCAAACCCAAACAAUACAACCAUAGACAUUCGCCUGCUGGCACUCUAUGCGGACACAGCGGGCCUUGUGGGUAUUGACGGGCCGAGGGAUGAAUUAAUUCGGCUGAUGGCAUGUGAAGAGGGUGGUUCUGCACAACAGAUGAAGGUCCUCUCUAUUGUGGGAUUUGGAGGGCUUGGUAAGACUACAUUGGCGAACCAGAUUUACCACAAGCAAAAGCCGCAGUACCAGUGUCAUGCUUUUGUUUCCGUAUCCCAGAAACCAAACAUAAGAAUGAUUUUGAGAAGAAUGCUCUCUCAAGUUGGCUAUGUAGCGCCCGAUGGAACCAACACGGAAAUAUGGGCUGAGGACGAACUGAUCAAUGCACUCAGAAAAUUCCUUAAGAAUAAGAGGUAGGCCUCCGUAAUUGACUGUAAGAGUCUUGUUUGGUCUUGUAACUGUUCUUUUUAUCUUCCUAGCACACUUUUGGCGAAAUUUCUGUACCCUCUAUAGAGGUCCUGGUUGAAAAGCUAGAAUGCAAGAUCUUUUUUUAUCUAUUCUGAAAAUAAAGUUCCAGAAAUAAUCUUGGUUCUCACAAAUGCGGACAGAAAAUUCAACUUUAACCACUAGUACUUCAUUACAUAGACAAGUAUAGUUGCAUUUUCAACAGUCCACUGAUAAAGGUUCUUUUUGGUGUUUUGGCUGUUUAAGACGCAGUUGCAGAGACUGAGUAUAAUUUACUUUUGCCUAUAGUUUAAUAUUGCCUCGUACUUAUUGUAGUUUAUAUGAAAUAAUUUUGCAGGUACUUGAUUGUAAUUGAUGACAUUUGGGAUGAAACUACAUGGAAUGUUAUUAGAUGCGCUUUUCCAAAAAACAUGGAUGGUAGCAUGAUAAUAACAACUACCCGAAUUAAUAAUGUGGCUACAGCUUGCUGCUGCAACCAACAGGGCUAUGUUUACCAGAUGAAGUCACUAAGCAACGAAGACUCAAGAAAGCUUUUUUUCAAAAGAGUAUUUGGUUCAGAGCAUGCUUGCCCUAUGUACUUGGAGGAAGUUUCAGCUCAAAUUUUAAAAAGAUGUGGCGGCAUGCCUCUUGCAAUUGUGACUAUAUCUAGCCUUUUGGCUAGUGAACGAAGCAAAGUGAAGGAGCAUUGGGUGCAUGUAAUGAAUUCUCUGGGCCCCAAUUUUGAGUUGAAUCCAACGUUGGAAGGAAUGAGGCAAAUACUGAGCCUUAGUUACAUAAAUCUUCCUCAUUAUUUGAAGACAUGCAUGCUAUAUUUGGGUAUGUAUCCAGAAGACUAUAUAAUAUGGAAAAAUGAUUUGGUCAGGCAAUGGGUAGCCCAAGGUUUUGUAAGUAAAGCACAGGGGCAAUAUCCAGAGGACGUUGCAGAGGGCUAUUUUAACGAGCUAGUUAACAGAGGCAUCAUUCAGCCAGUUGAUACCGAUCAUAAUAAUGAAGUGUUAUCUUGCAGACUGCAUGAUAUGAUGCUUGACCUUAUUAUACACAAGUGCAGAGAAGAAAAUUUUAUCACUGCAACAGAUGACAUCCAAGACAUGAUAGGUUUGUCUGACAAGGUCCGCCGACUCUCCCUCUAUCUGGACGGUAUAAUAGAUGGCACAAUAUUGGAAACCACCCAGCUCUCACAAGUAAGAGCACUUGCCAGAUUUGGUAACUCUGCAUAUGCACCUCCUCUUGAAGUUCAAGCAUCUCCGAGUUUUAAGUCUUGAAUUUCGGUGGCAGAUACCUGACCUCACUGGAAUAUCUCAUUUGUUCCAACUAAGGUAUCUGAAAAUUAAAGGAGAUGGUAAAUUUCAAGUUCCGUCAGAUGUUGUUCAUUUGGGCCAGUUGCAGCACCUGAUCGUCCCUCGUAGGACAAAUUUACCCAAUGGAAUUGGCAACAUGAAAUCUUUACGUACACUGGAAGAGUUUGAUGUGGGCUUGAAUUCUACAGACAACAUCAGAGACCUCAGGCAUCUCAUCAAUUUAAGGGAUCUUCGGAUAUGUGAUGAUCGUCCGAGGAAAUUUCGAAUACCUGAUGGUCUUUACAACAUGGAUGCAUUGCAUGACAUGGAAAGAAGACAGCGUUUGGAUGUUUUGACAUGUUCCCUUGAAAAACUUUGCGACCUCAGAUAUCUGCACAUGGAUUCUAACAUCAAAGUUAGUUAUGUGUUGAGUUCGCUAUUUCUUCGGAGGCUUCAUAUGCUGUGUCCGUUUCCGAAGGUUCCUAACGCGAUUGGAGAGCUCCAUAACCUCUUUGAUCUUGAUCUCACAAUUGAGGUGUUGGAAGAUGAUAUUGCAAUCCUUGCGCAGUUGCAAUCUCUUAACCGCCUUAAAUUGCAAAUCGAAGGGAAACCUGAAACUGAAGAGAAGGUAGUCAUUUGUAGAAAGGGAUUCCCUUUUCUCAAGCAUUUUUGGCUAUUCUGCUUCAGGAUGUCACAACUAACUUUUGAGGCAGGGACAAUGCCCAAUCUUGAAAAGCUCGAGGUAAGAAUCAAUUCGCCUUACGGUGCUGCACCUACGGGCAUCGAGCACCUAUUAGGCCUCAAGGAAAUCCUUGUAAUUAUUGGGGGAUGUGGUGACGAGGGAUCCUGCAGUACAAGAGCUGCACUGUCAGCGUUAAGGAAGGCCAUUGAUAUGCGCUCAAGUCGUCCUACAGCUAACAUUAAGUGUAUUGGCAGUUGGCUGUUCCUUGGGCACCUACCCGAUGGCUUCAGCUGGAGGAAGUACGGCCAGAGAGAUAUCCUUGACGCCAAGCACCCGAGGUUACCAAAGGCUUCUUCUGAACUCACCUGAAACUAACAUUUUUCUUUCCUGGUUGCAUGUGCUGCAUGUGGGAGGCUGACCAUGUUUCUUGUUAAAUUGAACUCUUGCAGAAGUUACUACCAAUGCUCUGGACGGAAAUCGGAGGGAUGCCGAGCGACCAAGCAUGUGCAGCGCACAGACGAUUGCGAUGAGCUCUUCCAUGUCGUGUAUAAACGAAAGCACACGUGUACACAGUGCAUGAUCCCGCUGCCACAACCUGGACAGGAGCAGACCAUCCAGGUGCCCCAGCCCACAUAACGGCAUUCCCACCCAUAAACGAGGCACACGAAAAAGCUAAAAAGUAGAGUGAAGCCAGUCAUUACGCUGGUAAGCAUCAUUUUGUAUCUCGGUUUGUCAAGUGUUGCUUCCUUUCAUUUUUAUUUAUUUCACUUCGAUGUAAUAUAUACUCCCUCCGUUCCCUAAUAUAAGACCUUUUAGCUAUUUCAAAAUAUUGACCACAUGCAUGCUAAAAUGAGUGAACAAUCAUACUGAAAUGUGUCUACAUACAUACGAAUCAAGAAAAAGCUAAAAGGUCUUAUAUUAAGGAACGGAGGGAGUAGUUGUUUAGAAGUUCACCACCUGUACCCGACAGCUUAAUCGGGUCUGAUUCUAUAUUCAGUUAAUUUCCAAUACAGCAAUGUGAUGGACUGGUGGUGUAACCUUAUUUCAGCAGAGCAAUUGUCUCCUGCUGCGUGCUCGUGCUGUUGUGCCGUCCUGUUCGAUUAUAGCAUCAAUGGUAUAGCUUCUAAAUGAUCCUCCGCAGUCAUAGAAUACAUUGAUUUUUACUGUACUUUAUUACUCCCUCCAUCCCAACAUAACAUCUUAUAUUAUACUCCAAAGCUACAGUAUAAUUUGUAUUCCUAUGUAAACUAGUGUAAGACAUUUUAGAUCACUACUUUAGUGACCUAAACGUCUUAUAUUUGUUUACGGAGGGAGUACUAAGUUUAUUUGUAGAGGCAAACCCAAUUGUGGUCAGGUCAGGUACUUUGGUUCCAUUUUGGUGUGUGGGUACUGGUUCUGGCUGCAUUGGACGGGAUAACCACAAAUUAUUCAGUAGAGAAGAGUACAACUCGAAACAACGGAAAUCAUUCGCAGCCUUUACCUACAAUGUCUGACUGAUGAUUCACACUCAAUGUCACAAGAAUUUACAAUGUCUUGACGCAACCCUGAACUCUGAACUCUGGCCAAGGAAGCUAAACAAUUAAUAACGGGCUACAGAAUUGCACUCUCUUACUAAUUACACACUUGGUCUAAAGAUGCUACAUGCUCCAGUCCAGAGCCUCCCCAAAUACACUAGUAUAUGUUUGUGCUUCUGAUGGUCCCUGCAAUAGCUGUGUUGUUAGCCUUGUAAGUUGUAAUCUGUGAGCCAGCAUGAGGCCAUGGCGCCUAAAGCCUGGUCACUGCGUCCACAGGUCCGCGCUGUAUCUGGAGCUGGCCUUCCUGGUGCGCUUCGAGGCCAUGGCGCCGCACGCCGCCGCCGGUCCGGCCAUGCGAGCACAGCUCGCCGCGCCGGCGUCGACGGCGUAGUAAUCCCUCCGUCUCUUCAUUGGAGGAGAAACCAGCAGAACAGAUGAGGAGGAGGUGGUGAUGGUGCUCGUCGGCCUCUUCUUCGGCGGCAACAGCGAUUCCCGGGUCUGGAUGCUGGUGGGGAGUGAGCUGCACCCGGCAGCUAGGUGGAGCUGCAAGCCCGUCCCCGUCGUCGUCGUUGGAGAUGGAGAUGCCGCUGCGGCCCUCUUCUUUGGCGGCAACAGCGAUUGAUCGAUGAAGCCCGUCGUCGUCAUCGGAGAAAGAUGACGAUGCCGGAAGAAUUCGUUCCACGAUCUCUUCUUCGGGUAUGGGGGAAAUAGGUACCAUGGGAGGCCGGGCGUACGUAAUAUAAAGGCCUGUUCGGAGGGACUUCACUCCACAACUCCACUCCCGGAGCUGGUGGAGCAGCAGUUAAAAAAUGCGGAGUCGGGAAAGUGGUGCUCCGCAGCUCCUCGGAUUUCAUGGAGCCGGAGGAUUACCGAACGGCUCCUAAAUAUCGGUCCUCCAGUUCCAUGUCCUGGUACCGGAGUAGAGCCGGAGACGGUCCACGGCAGUUCGUUCCGAGUCCCCGUCCGGAAUCGGACUGGAAUGUUUUUUUUUUACAUAUUUCAGUAAUUUUAAAAAUUAAUUUCAAAUCUUUUUCAAUAAAUUGAUUUUAUUUAUUCCAUAAAAACUAAUUUCAUCCAUUCCAAAAGGUGUUUCAAUUCUUUCUAAAAACAGAUUUCAAUAAUUUCAAGAGGCUAAUUUCACUCUUUUUCAAUAACUUGGUUUCGGUUCUUACGAAAAACAGAUUUCAAUAAUUUUAACAAACUGACCACUCAGUUUUAAAAAUAAAUUUCACCCAUUUCAAUUCCAGAACAUGCAUUUCAGAACUCAUAUUUAUGUGAAACACAAAUCAAAAAAAUGCAUUUCAAUUUACCGGAAUUAAUUUUAGAAAUACGUGGUUUCACAUAUUAGAAUUAAUCGGUUUCACAUAUGAAUAUCAGAAAAAAAUCACAUUUCACAAUUUACCAAAUCACUUUCAAAACAUAUUUACAAAUCAACAAUAUGUGCUAAUAUCACUUCUUUUUCAAUCUGAACCAAGCAACUCUGCCAUAUUUCACAAAAUCAGAUGGUCGACAUAUCUCACAUACAUGACCAGAAGGCUCCAAUUUGGUUUGGGGAACAGCGGCCCCUAGGGCAUCCGGCCCAGGACCAGCCCAUGGAGGGCAGAUGCAUCAGAUGAACGAGAUCGAUUAGGCCACACAAAUCUGAUAACCAGAAGCGUUAAUGUGCGAGAGAGCUCCUAGGGUGCUCAGAUCGGCCAAAAGCUGCCAGGUCGUGAGAGGGCUUGAUUUAGGUUUAGCUUUACUGUCUUAAAUUACAUCUCGCCAUAAGGUUUUCUAUGUAGAUGUGUUUUUUGGGCCAGAAGAAAUAAAGCUCACUCGCUGGCUAUAGAGUUGUGUUUUUUUCUUUCUUCUAUUCAUUGGUUGAAAUGAUAAGUUUUUUAUCGGUUUUAUAUUUCUUUCUUUUUUAUUAUUUCCCUUACAGUUUUUACCUUUUUUAUUUUAUGUGUUUUCUUUUAUGGUUUUUUUGUUUCCAUUGAUAUUUUUAUUUUCAUUCAUUUGUUAUAUUUAUCUUUCAACACCAACAAGUUGUAUCUUUCAACACCAACAAAAAAGAUGACAGCGUAUGCAACAAACAGCAUUUGAAAUCUAUGGCUAGGUACACUUAUAUGGUCAAUGUAACCCACUUCACUUGUUUCAACUCCAAACAGCAACGCAUGACGACCAGCUUGUCAAAAGUGUAGACACCUAUUAAAAUUUCAUUAUUUGCCACUUAUUGUCACAUCAUAAAAAUGCAUUAAAGUUUUCCAUUCAUGUUCCCUGCGCAGUUUGGUCCAUGACACGACUUCAAAGUAGCAACAUCAAAGAUUGCAUCAAACGGCAAACCCAAAUGGUCAUUUAGUACUACUUCAGACUCAGUUUCACGGCGGUGUCGCAAUAUUCACAACUCGAAUAUUUUAUCCAGUGCCUCCCAAAUCAGGAAAACAUUCCUUACAUGAACUGGAACACCAAAACAGAGUGCACUUCAUCGAAACAACUACGAAGCAGAGUCUGAGAUCAUAGAUCCUCUUAGCACAUACUGCAAGUCAUGAAACCCAAAGAGUGAAGGCCGCGAACGUCCACGUUGAAC